CGGAUUUCAUCUAAAACCUAUUUUCUACAUAUUAGCCUCUUUUAGGUCAAAUCGAGAUAUUAGAAUUUCAUAUCUAUAUGUCGAUUUGAUCUUCGCUUCGCUUGGAGUUCUCUUCCUGGUUUUCAUCGAUACUCUAAGUGAAGGAUCACCAUACACAUGAUGUUCUUCAUAACGGCGUCGUGGAUUCGGCGUGACUGACGGCGGUUCGUGGAUUCGGAUCGUGAGCUUCGUGGAUUCGGAGCGGAGGCGUUUCGUGGAUUCGGAACGUGGCGUUCGUGGAUUCGAACGUGAGAGCGUGGACAACCCGGAGGAUUGCGCGAGAUUCAUAGGAGGUUAAGAGAGGUUAAGUCCGUGGAGUCGGUAAUCAUCUUGUAAUCUUUUCUCUUAGUGAAUUAUUUCUUCGCGUGUUGGUCCCGUGGGUUUUUCUCCAAGUUGGAGUUUUCCCAUGUAAAUGUCGGUGUGAUUUUUAUUUUCCGCAUUUAUUUUUAUCGCAUUGAGAUUUGUGGUUUUUGGCUAUUACACCUAUUCACCCCCCUCUAGGUGUUAGAUACAAUCUAGAUAGAUCCUUGGGCUCCUCAAAACUUACAAUUGGUAUCAGAGAGGGAUCUAGAUAAAUUGUUAUCUAAUGGCCGAAGGCGGAAACAUUAAUCGACCACCGCUCUUCGAUGGGACAAACUAUGCUUAUUGGAAAGUUCGCAUGAGAGCUUUUCUAAUCGCAAUCGAUGAGCGCGUUUGGCAAUCAAUAGAAUUUGGAUGGAAACAUCCUAUUGAAAAAGUCGAGAAUGUUAAAACGCCAAAACCACAGAACAAGUGGACGAAAGAUGAAAACAAGUCAUCUUCGUUUAACGGUAAAGGAAUUAAUGCUUUAUUCAAUGCUUUAUCGCAAACGGAGUUUACUCGUGUUUCGGCAUGUGAAACAGCAAAGGAAAUUUGGGAUACUCUACAAGUUACGCAUGAAGGAACAAGCUUAGUAAAGGUUCAAAAAUUACAAAUGCUAACAAGCAAAUUUGACUCAAUUUUUAUAGAAGAAAACGAGACCUUUACCGAGUACUAUACGCAUCUACAAGACGUUGUGAAUACAUGCGCUAACUUGGGAGAGAAAAUCCCGGAUGCUAAGGUUGUUAGAAAGAUUCUUCGAACUCUUCCCGAACGCUUUUGGGGCAAAGGUUGCCGCAAUCGAAACCGUUAAGCAUCCGGACGAGAUGAAAGUCGAAGAGUUAAUAGGCGCUGUACAAACGUAUGAGAUGACUUUUCCUACUAACCCAUCUUCUUCCAAGUUUUUUUCUAAAAGCACAGGGGUUGCACUCAAAUCAACAAAGAAAGAAGAAGACGACUCGGAUUCUGACGGAGAUAUUUCGCUCGCCGACUUUGAACAUCAAUUGGCGCUCCUCACGAAGAAGUUCCGACAGAAUUUUCGAAAGAAGAACAAUUCGGACAAGGCUUCAUCUUCGAAGCAUAAAUCUUUUUCAAGACAAUCUUCAAGUGCUAAAUCUAAGGAUAAAAAACUUGCAAAGUCUUCGAAAGAAAAAGAUGAAUUUGAAGGCGAAAUUCAAUGCUACAAAUGCAAAGGCUACGACCAUAUUGCAAUGGAUUGUCCUUCAAAGAAGUCUUAUAAGCAAAAGGCUUUGCAAGCUAAGACUUGGGAUGAUUCUUCUUCUAGUGAAUCAUCUUCAAGUGACGAAGAAAAGAGGGAUCACAUUGCUUUAUUUACUAACACUUCUCUACCUUCAUCUAACGUUGUUUGUUUAUCCUCAAUUGUUUCUAAUUCUAAUGUUUCUCUCUCUUCGCAUGAGUUUUCGAGCGACAAUAGCAGAAGCGAGGAGGAAUCAAACGACGAGGAUAUAGCGGAAGCAUACAAUCAACUUCUUAUUGAUUCGAAAAAGAUGACCAAGCUCAAUAAGAAGUUGAGGUGUCGGUUAUUGGACAUUAAAGAGGAGAACAAAAAUGUGAAGACCACGAAUAAAGCUCUUGAGGAGGAAAGGGAAUCAAUAUUGAAAAACAAUUCGAUCCUCCAAAAGAAGCUAGAGAAAGAGGAAUUAACGGUCAAAUCAUCUAAAGACAAGAUUGAAUUUUUGGAGCAUCAAUUUCAGGAAAUUCAUGCAUCCAAUCAAGUCUUAACUAGUCAAGUUUGUCAACUCAAAUCCGAUCUUCAAAAAUUUUCUUCUGGAUCAAAGAAACUAGAUCAUAUGCUCGGAUUGGGUCAAACAAACAAGUUAGGCCUCGGAUAUGAAAGAACAAGUGUUGAGAAGGUUUCAAAAUUAACUUCUAAAGUCUCAACAACUUUGAAACAGAAGGUGUGUCAUAAAUGUGGAAUCAAAGGACACAUCAAAAAGAAUUGCCCAAAUAAGGAAAAGAAGAGUCAAUCGGCAAUGUUGGAACCUCAAUCGGCAUCAUCUACAACUCGGCUUCCCCCACGGAAUCAAAAGAAAAUUCAACUGGGUCGAGUACCUCAAGGGAACCGGACUUCUAAGCCGCAAUGUCAAGUUCAACCAUUCCCACAAGCAAACCGGAAUUCAAAGUUUCAUCAACAAUUCCAACCGAAGCUUCAAGCGACGAAACGACCAACGGUUGAUCAAAACUUAAAGCAAAUUGUGCUUAACGUCGACAAGACAAGACAACGGAAAAUCCGACAAGUUUAGAUUCGGAAAGGUGAUAUCUUUCCUUACUCUUCGUCUUAGUUUGUUUUGAUUGUUUAUGUAAUGUUUUGAUUGGUGCUUGUUGCAUAUUUUUUUUCAUUGCAUUACAUGAUGAUUUCCGUGUGCAAAAUUUAAAAAAAACAAAAAUUUGAGAAAGGAUGUUUGGGAAUUUUAAAAGUUUUUUGAGAAAGGAGACGAUUGAAAAUCUUUAUUUUGAGGAGAUUAGAAUUUUUUCCAAAGUGUUUUUAACCGGAAUUCAUCUUGAAUUAAAUUCAUAUUAAUUAUCGGUUUUACUCCACUUUUUAUUAUUUUGAUGAUAAUUUAAUAUAUGAUUUCUUAAUACAUAUAUUCAACAAAAUUUUGAAAUCAAAUUUGAUCUCUUGAUGAUUAAUCUAUCUCGGUUGUGUGUGUUGGAUAUGAUAGAUGGAUAUUCGCUAAUAGACUAAACUUUGUCAAAAUAUUUUCAAUUGUGAGAUUGUCUAAUUUAGGGGGAGUUUGAAAUUAUUUUUUAAAAAAAAGAGAAAAAAAGGAAACUCCUAUGUUUAAAAGAUGUGCAAAAAGUUACAUCCAAAAGUAGUGUGAAAACUACCACCACAUGUAGGAAAGAGCUACCACCUUGGUCAUUCGACAAGUGUGUGAAGCUACCACAUGAAGAUUGAAUUGAAUAACCGAAAAGGUCGAAAAAAUUGAAUAUUUUAGAAUUUUCGGAGUUAUAUGGUGUUUGUUUGAAAAAGAAGCUCAAAGAGCCACCCCCGGUAUCAUAUUAGUAAAAUCUCUAUUUUGAACGGAUUGCGACAAAUUGGUGUCAAUUUUGCCGAAUUUCUAAAAAUCAUUUUUCGUGAACCGUUACAUCUUUAUGAUUUUGAAACUCGAGGUCAUGUUUGAUAACAAAAUUGUGAUAUUUCGAUGUAUUUUGAAAUCUUAUAAUAUUUUACCUUCAUUAUAAUAAUUUUUGGAGUAAAGUCCUUAAUUUGUAUGAAAUUAAUUUAAGUUUAAAGGGUUUUUAAAUUCAAGUUUUCAAAAUCUGGAAAAGUGUACCGGUACAAAAUCCCGUGUACCGGUACAAAUUACUGUAGCCGCGGAAAUAAAACCGGUUACAGGGCUUUUUUUCUCCUCCAAAUCUAAAUCAAAUUUCGUUCUCUCUCUCUCUCUAAAAUCUCUAGGAGACUUUUUCUUCCAGAUCUACUCGGUUUUUCCAAAAAUUAGUGAGUAUUUAGCUUGGAUUUAAUCGUUUCAUCGCGUUCUUGCCUAUUUUUCGAAAAUAUUCCGAGUUGAAGUUAGAUCUCUGUUUUGAUUCAUUUUUGAUGGAAUUUUUUGCUUCGUUUCAGUUUGUAUGCAUGUAUUCUUGCUUCUAGAACGUUUAGAUCAUGUCAUAAUGCGUUAUUUUUCGCUGAUCUAUGUUCCUUAUAUCAUAAUACAUGGAAUUUCGGGAUUGUUCUUGAAAUAUCAAUUUUUGAUGAAAUUUUUUGCAUGAAUGAGUUUGAAAUAGCGUUAGUAUGCAUUCUAAGAAUAUUAGAUAUUUUUUCGCUAUUUUUACAGAUUUUUUCAAAAUUUUCUUCAUGUAUGGCUCAUUUUAAUGUAGGAAAAUGGUGUUUUCGCUUGUGAUUCUGCAUUUGGUGCUUAUGGCCGCGGGUCGUGGCCGUGGUAGUGGUCGAGGACGUCGCGGGACAUCAAAGAGAACUCGUACUGCUAACGAGUCAUCAGGAUCCGAUCCGGAUUAUCAAGCAAGCUCACUUGAAGCUACUGAAGAAGCUGUUACUAGGGCUGCUAAAGGAAAAGGCCUAGCAGGAGAAUCCUCGCGAGGAGGUGAUUCUCGUGCGUGUGAGAGUCGCUCCAAACGUGCUGCAAAGGCUUCGUCAGAGCGACGGAGGAUAUAUUCGAGCCGAUCAGUUCUAGCUGAGCGCUAUGUCAACUUUACUGAGCUGAUCAAGGAGGUACCAGAUUUUGGUCGAUUGCUGCAGAGGGUCCCUAUUGAGCCCGUAGGACGGGUUCCAGCUCGUGCUCCAUUCUGUGUGGAACUCAUUCGGGAGUUUUACAUGAACGGGAUGAUGCUUGCAGAGGAUGAGGAGACUGGGAUUUAUGUGUUUGAGACAUAUGUGCGUAAGCAGAAAAUUCAAGUCACUCCUUACACGAUUGGAGAGCACUUAGGCAUGCAUGUUGAUACUACCGGCCUUCACUAUACGACAGGGCUUUAUCAGUCUUCGACCCACUGGGAGAUUGUUAUAAAAGCUAUAUGCAAGGAAGGCAUGAGGACAAAUCAUUCAUACGUGGAAUCCAAAGAUUUGCUACCCGAGUAUCAUCUACUCUCCUUGGUGAUGAGCUACAAUGUUCAACCUACAAUUGGAACAAAAAGGAUUCGUUGGGAUCGUCUGGUGCUUUUAUAUCUUCUUGGAUAUCCUGAGGAAGCGGACGGGUUGAACAUCAAUAUUCCCUUUCUGAUGUGGCAAAGAAUGGCUCAUGUCAUACAGUCUCAAGUUCGACGUGAUCUACUUCCGUUUCCGUUGCUGAUCACGAGGAUUCUUCAAGAAUACGGAGUUGACGUGUCGUGUGAGAAGUAUGACAUUGGACUUGGACCGAUUGAUGCUGUAACCUGGGCCAAGUCAAGAAGCACACUAAAGACUUUUCAGCAAACUAAGGGAUCAUCCAAAGGAGCUUCUAGUUCAGCACCUCCACCUCAUACAGAGCAUGAGGGAUCUUCAAGCUCAGGGGGAGUGAUUACUGUAGAAUCACUUCACCAUGAUGUGCGCUCGUUGAAGAAGAAAGUGGCAGAUCUUGCUAGAAAGGUAGAAAUGGGAAUGAAGAGAAUGAUGGAGAAAUUGGAAUGUAGGCAUGAUGAUAUUUUUCCUACUCAGUCUACCUACUCCACUUAUACCAGAUCGACAUCGCGACAUCCACUCAUUCCACUGUCCGGUGAUGCUCGUGAGGCUGGGGGAUCUGGAGCUGGCGCAGGAGAUGAUGAUGAUGAUGACGAUGACAUGGAGUGAUUUCUUCCUCGAGCUCAGUCUUUUUACUUCACUGUGUUUGCUUUUUAGGACGAUGUUUUAGUUUAGCUUUGCUUGCUUAUCUUUCUUUUGCUUUAGGCCUGUAACUAUGACUUGACUACUCUUAUACUUUCUAGUAUGUUUUCUCUCUUUAUAUGCUUUAUCUUUGGCAAUUUUUGCAAAAAGGGGGAGAGCAAUGAUGAACAGGUGUUGAUCGAAGCAGUGUAACUUGUAAGAGUGUCUAGGUUUCAACUUUCUAUAUCUUUUUGGAUAAAUUGUUUUGCAGGAAAUCAAGACUUCAAGACUCCUUGUUGCGUCUAAGUCAUAAAGUCUGUUUUAGGAGUUUUUUAUGUACUUUUGCAUUUCAUAUUGUAUUUGGAUCACAUGCGAGGGGUUCAAUGUUUUGGUGAUGACAAUUGAACUUCGUUUCUUUAAGAUGUAAUUUUUGAGUUUUUGUGUGUUUUGUCAUGAAAUUGCCAAAGGGGGAGAUUGUUAAGUCCUGUGUGUCGGCAAGUUUUGUGAAGUGAGUCGGAGUCUUGAAGAAUCGGUGCAUAUCGUCGAAGAUCGAAGAAUUCAAGAUUUCAAAGAAAUUGGAAAAUGACUCACGAUGUGAAUCACGAUGUCCAGGCAAAGUGUUAAUUCAUGUUAUGGUGAUUCAUAUUUAGUUGUAGGCAUUAGAAUCAUAAUAUCAAUAUUUACUGGAUUAGAAAGUGCAUCGGAACUUUGCAAAACCCGAAACGGUGAAAAUUUGCAAAGUGUACUGGUACAGCAUCAGAAGUGUAUCGGUACAAAAUGUGUACCGGUACAGCCAUCGACAUGUAACCGAUUCCACUGUUUCGUCAGUUUUUUCGUUCCGUCAUCGUGUAACCGGUGACAGCUUAAAGUGUACCGGUACACAGUGUAAAAUCGUGAAAACUUUCUAAUCCGACUCCGAUUGAUUCUAAAGCCUAUAAAUAAGCUAUUGGGGUUCUCUAACUUAUCAAGCAUCACGAAAAGACAUGUUUGAGAAACCCUAGAGGCUCGGAUUUUAUCUAAAACCUAUUUUCUACAUAUUAGCCUCUUUUAUGUCAAAUCGAGAUAUUGGAAUUUCAUAUCUAUAUAUCGAUUUGAUCUUCGCUUCACUUGGAGUUCUCUUCCUGGUUUUCAUCGAUACUCUAAGCGAAGGAUCACCAUACACAUGAUGUUCUUCAUAACGGCGUCGUGGAUUCGACGUGAUUGACGGCGGUUCGUGGAUUCGGAUCGUGAGCUUCGUGGAUUCGGACUGGAGGCGUUUCGUGGAUUUGGAACGUGGUGUUCGUGGAUUCGAACGUGAGGGCGUGGACAACCCGGAGGAUUGCGCGAGAUUCAUAGGAGGUUAAGAGAGGUUGAGUCCGUGGGGUCGGUAAUCGCCUUGUAAUCUUUUCUCUUAGUGAAUUAUUUUUUCGCGUGUUGGUCCCAUGGGUUUUUCUCCAAGUUGGAGUUUUCCUACGUAAAUCUCGGUGUGAUUUUUAUUUUUCGCAUUUAUUUUUAUCGCAUUGAGAUUUGUCGUUUUUGGCUAUUACAUCUAUUCACCCCCCUCUAGGUGUUAGAUACAAUCUAGAUAGAUCCUUGGGCUCCUCAAAACUUACAGAAGCGGGGGUCUCGAUUUGACACAAUCGAUAAUGGAACCCUAUGCCAUCUCACUACCUCAUCCAAGUAGGCUUGUGCUAACUUGUCUCCUAACCACGUGGUGUGUAUCGGCAAGAAAUGAGCCGACUUCGUCAAACGGUCCACAACCACCCAUAUUGCAUCAUGUCCGGCUUGCGAUCGGGGUAGUCCGACUACAAAGUCCAUCGCUAUGUCCUCCUAUUUUCACACGGGGAUUGGUUAGCUCUGCAACUUCCCCGCGAAAAAUCGACGCUCGACCUUCACUUGUUGGCACGUCAAACACUGUGCCACGAACUCCUCAAUGUCUCUUUUCAUGCCCGGCCACCAAUAAUGCAAUUUCAGGUCUUUGUACAUCUUAGUGCUGCCCGGGUGAAUACUAUACGGGGAAUGAUGCGCUUCUUGCAACACCAUCUUACAGAUCUCGUCAUCCUUGGGCACACACAACCGGUUUCUGAACCGAAGUGCAUCGCCGGAUCCCACGCCGAAAUCACCGGCGCGUCCGGCGUCAAAGUCAUUCCGCACCUUUUGGAGAUAUGGAUCAUCAACUUGCCGCUCCUUAAUCCGUUCCAAUAAGGUCGGUCGAACCACUAGCGCCUCCAAGAUGGUCGGAACCUCUGGCGCCACCACUUCCAAUCCAAACCGUUGCAUUUUCUUUUGCAACAACGAUUGACUAGUAAUCGCCGUCGCCAAGUUCUCAACAAAUUUCCUACAUAGCGCAUCGGCAACGACAUUAGCUUUCCUGGGGUGGUAUAGGAUAGUAAGGUCAUAAUCCUUCAACAGCUCCAACCACCGCCGCUGUCGCAUGUUUAACUCUUUUUCGGUGAAUAAGUACUUGAGGCUCUUGUGAUCGGUAUAUACCUCACAAUGCUCACCGUAGAGAUAAUGCCUCCAUAGCUUUAGCACGAAAAUGACCGCCGCUAACUCAAGAUUAUGUAUCGGGUAGUUCUUCUCAUAGCUCUUCAACUGGCGCGAAGCAUAUGCAAUGACUCGCCCAUUUUGCAUAAGUAAGAACACACCCGAGACCAUUGUAGGAAGCAUCACUAUACACCACGAAACUCUCUCCCGGAUGCAAUAAUUAAACUGCUUGUGACCCGAAUUGUGAAGAACCUGGUAGAGCUCGGAAAUGAGGUAAGCUGAAUGUUUAUCCCUGGUUUGAGUGUUUCUUUUGAUUGCCUAAGUUGAAGAAGGCAACAAGCAAUUGAGUUCUGAGCUUGAACUAGUAGCAAAAGUGAAAUUUCAGCAUUGAGAUUGAGUACAUUGAGGCUUAUUGAAGCUACUAUAGUAGUAAUGCAUAUACUACUUAGAGUCGAGAUACAAGUUUCGCUGAGGUGUAUGUAUAACUUCAGUUUAAUCUCUUUUAUUCUCCUAUGAAGGAAAGUUAAAUAUACUCAAAGGUCUAAAUUAAUAUUUCGACAGGUUCUUGGUACGCUAAUUACGAUAAAGCCAGUUAGGCUCUAUUUGCAUCUAGUCGGGUGAUACCUUCGUGGAUUCAGCCCGAGACGUGAGUUCUAAUUGUUAGCAUCACUACAGGUGGGUGGUGCUAUCCGAAGUCUUUGAAUCACCUUUUAUGUCUAUGGUUUUCCAUUGAGCAUAUUACUUGUAUUCAUGCAUCACAGGGUAGUGAUAUUAUGAAAGUGAUAUUUGAAUAUGUGAAUGUUUAUCAAUGUUGAGAAAAUGUGAACUUAGAGUGUGAACAUGGAACCCUAUGAAGGUAUGGACUAUAGCAAUAGUAAACUUGGUGACAUUCAACUAGAGAUUUGGUUAGCAUCGAAAGAUGGAAUUGUGAAACUAGUAUAAAGAACUAGUUAGAGUAAAGUGUGACAGUGUUUGUCAGUUGAAUCCUCUAAAAGGGGGAUCAGAUCAUACUCACAUUUGUUUGGUUCAAGUGGGGUCGCUCCCCCUUGGACGAUGAGCUCCGGAGUAGUCAUCUUUACUGGACCAGGAGGUUGCGUCUCCCCCAGUUGACAGUCCCGUCGGGUGCAGGUUGCGUCUCCUCGAUGUUUGGGAUAGUGUCAGUGAGUUAUUGUUAACCAAGAGUUAACCAGUGAAUUGGGUAAAUUCAAUAAAAGCAUGCAUAUUUACAGUUUUCAUAUAUUGCUUCUUUCAGCUUUGUACAGGCAUUGUAGUAGUUACAUGUUUAGUGGUUACUAUCUGUUUGCUUUUCUUGCCUACAUAUGCCUGAAUAGACCUAGUGGGUGAGUCGGCGAGGUCGGUGGCCGAACCCACUGGGAACUUAUUUGUAGUUCUCACACCACUAACCAUACAGGUUCCAGUGCGAGUGUUGUGGCCGAGGAUUGUGGCAAGGGCCCUGCAGCUUAGCUAGCUGACACCAGAGUUUUAGCAGUUACCAUUUUGAGUUCAUGUAUCAUCUAUUUUGAUGUACUGAAACAUUUAGUUAUAUACAUGCUUUAUAAUACAUACAUUAACAUGUCUCACUGGAACCUUUACCGCGGUCGCUCGCCGGCUCGCUCGGUCCCGGCUCUGUGGAAUAGUGGGUGAGAACUACAACAAAGUUCCCAGUGGGUUCGGUCCCAAUCUCACCGACUUUUCCACUAGGACUAAUUCAGGCAUAAUAGAAAGGAUAAGCAGAAUAGUAGCCAAACUAUAAUCAUGAUGCUAAUAUGCUUGAACAAUAAAGCAGGAAGUAUGCUCAAUGUAAAUCAUGCAAGUAUGCAAGUUCUUUGUUCUUUACGUUUUGUUCUUUAACCUUUGUUCUUUGUUUUUUAAUCUCAAGGCUAACCGGGGGGUUUCGUCACAUUAACUUGCCCACAUUAAAUCCAUCAUCGCGGGCCCUCAGCUGCCUCCCGCUAAGACCGUCCUCGGGUUUACUCCAACCCGUGAUGCAAAAACUCCGGAGCGCAUCGCUCGAGGGGGAGCGACCGCCUCGAGCACGGAACUCAUAGCAAGUAUGAUCGAUUUUUAACUCUAAGGAUAUAUAGUUCAAUCAUUGUCUUUACACUAACUCUAGUGUUCUUUACAUCACUUUAUUUUGCUAACUCUAGCAAUCAUUGUUCUUUAACUUUACUCGUUCUUUAUGCCACUUUCAUUUUCUUUCCCUAUCUCUAAUCAUUAUCAUUGUUCUUUGCGUCACAUUUCUCUUUGAUGCCACACACACUAACUCUAGUGUCACUUUUCUUUACAUUAUCGAAUGCCACUCGAUCUAUAUUUUAUUGUGUCACUUUGUUCUUUCAUCUCAUUGGGUGCUCACAUUAUAUCUCAUGCAUACAUAUAGGGUUAAAUAGGCUCUCAAACAUUUCAAAUAGCAUGUGUACUCACAUCAUGCAACAUUCACAUGUAUAUCAUCACAUCUACCCUAUAAUGCAUGCAACAAUAUAAAUAUAUGCUCAAUUGAAUGACACAUUAGGCAUAGAGGGAAUUCCAACAAGUUUGGAUAGCAACCCACCUCGUAAGCGUACUAGGAUACUACAAUGAUUUUCUUGGGAUUUUUAGCCUCUUAGUUCAUCACCUGCGGCAAAACGAAGUCCCAUUAGGCUAUUUUGCUCAUAUCUUUACAUUGGCUUUUCGUAACGUCAAUCCGAGCGCACCAACGCGUCGGAAAUACCCCCAAUUAGGUUUCUAGAGGGUCAAUUUCGCUUUGAAACCCUCCAGAGCAAAAGCCCCAAAUUUGGGUGCCCUAGCUCAUAGCGUAUCAAAACCUAGGGUUUGAUCUCUUAGAGAAGCAAAAGUAAGCUUCAAAUCAUCUAAAGGUUCCAUUUGAACCAUCCUUAGCUCAUUCAAAACCCAUUUUAGGGUUUCACCAUGGGAGGGAUGGAAGCUUUCCUCUAAGCUUCACCACCAACACCCAAAUCCAUGGUUUUGAUCUCUAAAAGAAGCAAAAGAAAGCUUCAAAUACUUAAUAGGUUCCAUUAAAACCAUUUCUAGGUCCAUUCAAACCCUAGUUGAGCUUUACCACUAUUGGGGUUCAAAGCUUACCUUGUAAGCUUUCCUUUUCCAAGCUAGGGAAGGAGAGGAGGGGUCUUCUUUUCCUCCUUGCCUUCUUCUUCACCUUCUUUCUCUUCUUUUCCUCUUCUUUCUUUGUCUUCUUCUUCUCCUUCUUGUCUUCUAGAGAGAGAAAGAGAGAUGAGAGGGAGUGUGUGAGGGAGAGAAUGAGAGGAAAAAGCCCUCAAAGCCCUCCACUUAACCAUUAGGUUGCACAAAAGCAAAUAGGCCCCCCAACUUUCAUUUUAUUGAACUGCUCAAACUGGGCAGAUUUCGGGUUCGGGGACCGGUCUCCCCGACUUGGGACCGGUCCCAGAGAGCUGCUCCCCGCAGCUGCGCAGGGCUCCCCGCGAUGCAACCGGUCUCUCCCAGGGGGACCGGUCUCUCGGGGAUCGGUCUCUCUCCGCAGGGAUCGGUUCCCGAGAGCUGGUUUUCUGGGACUUAGCCGAUUUUCGGCCUUUCUCAUUUCUCACGCGUUCGGGGACUGGUCUCUCCCACCAGGGACCGGUCCCCGAGAGCACAAAACCUGCAGAAUGCAGAUUUUUGAUUCUUUAGCUCUCGAAAACCUCCCACAACGCACUUUCGGUCAUUUUAACACCUUCGGACUUUCCGAAGUGCACCAUCCUCGGGCUUUGGUCAAUUUGACUAAAGUUCGAUAUUUAUUUUCCGAAUUUUCGGUAUAUUAUAUUCUCCACCCCUUAAAAUAAUUUCGUCCACGAAAUUACGCAUACCUUAACUUGUCGACUCAAAUAAAUGCGGAUACUCUCUCCGCAUGGUCUCCUUGAGCUCCCAAGUGGCUUCUCGCACAGCAUGGUUGUUCCAUUAGACUUUCACAUACGGAAUUCUUUCUUCUCUUUCAAGGAUGCACACCGGGUACUCCUCAUAAGACAUAUCCUCACGUAACUCCAGGGGCUCGUGCUCUAACAUAUGUGUCGAGUUACGAAUAUACUUUCGGAGAUUUGACACAUGAAAAAUAUUGUAAACUCUCGCGAGUCUCGGUGGUAGUGCGAGCUUGUACGCUACUGCCCCCACACGCUCUAGUAUCUCGAAUGGUCCAACAUAACGAGGACUUAGCUUCCCGCGGACCCCAAAACGUUUGACUCCUCGCAUCGGCGAUACUCUUAAUAAUACGCGGUCUCCAACCGCAAACUCUAAGUCCUUUCUUCGCUUAUCGGCAUAACUCUUUUGUCGAGAUUGCGUCGCCGCUAAUCGUUGACGGGCAAGACGAACCUUUUCUUCCGCCUCCCGUACCACAUCCGGGCCAAGAGCCGUUCUCUCGCCCACAUCGCUCCAAUGAAUAGGAGAACGACACUUUCGACCAUAUAGUGCUUCAAAUGGCACCAUCGCUAUACUCUCUUGAUAACUGUUAUUAUACGCGAACUCCGCCAUCAGCAAAAAAUCAUGCCAUCCUCCCUUAUAAUCCAGUGCACACGCUCAAAGCAAGUCCUCGAGAAUCUGUAUUGUUCGCUCUGACUGUCCAUCACUUUGAGGAUGAAACGCUGUGCUGAAGUCGAGCCGUGUGCCUAGCGCGUCCUGCUGGCUCUUCCAAAAGUGGGAUGUGAACCUGGGGUCUCGAUUCGAUACAAUUGAUACCGGAACCCCAUGAAGUCUCACAACCUCGUCGAGAUAAACUUGAGCUAGCUUGUCUCCCGACCACGUAGUAUGUAUCGGCAAGAAGUGUGCCGACUUUGUCAAUUGAUCCACUAUCACCCAUAUUGCAUCAUGUCCGCCUUGUGAUCGAGGCAAACCGGUAAUAAAGUCCAUCGCUAUAUCUUCCCAUUUCCAAACGGGUAUUGAUAGACUUUGUAGCUUUCCCGCCGAAAAUCGGCGCUCGGCUUUCACCUGUUGGCACAUUAAACAUUGCGCCACGAACUCCCUAAUAUCUUUCUUCAUACCCGGCCUCCAAUAAUACUCUUUCAAGUCCUUGUACAUUUUAGUGCCGCUCGGGUGUAUACUAUAAGGGGAUUGGUACGCUUCUUGCAUGAUCGCCCUUCGUAACUCAUCAUCCUUAGGCACACACCAUUGAUUUCUAAAUCGAAGUGCGCCCUCGGCUCCAAUACCAAAGUCUUCGGCAUUACCACUCUCAACUUCACUUCGUACUUUUUGAAGAUAAGGAUCCGAAGCUUGGAGUUCCUUGAUCUUUUCCAACAGGGUCGGUUGCACAACUAAUGCGGCAAGUGUAGCUGACACUCCCGGCGCUACCACUUCCAACCCAAGUCUUUGCAAUAUUUUUUGCAAUAGCGGUUGAGGCGUAAUUGCCAUCGCUAAGUUCUCCGCUGAUUUUCUACUCAAAGCAUCGGCCACGACAUUAGCUUUCCCGGGGUGGUAUAGUAUAGUGACAACAUAGUCCUUUAGCAAUUCUAACCACCGCCGCUGUCGCAUGUUCAACUCCUUCUUGGUGAACAAGUACUUUAGACUUUUAUAAUCCGUGUAGAUCUCGCAAUGCUCACUAUACAAGUAAUGCCUCCAAAGCUUUAGCGCGAAGAUCACCGCAGCUAACUCAAGGUCGUGAAUCGGAUAGUUCUUCUCAUAGCUCUUUAAUUGGCACGAUGCAUAAGCAAUGACCCGCCCUUUUUGCAUUAGUACACACCCAAGACCAACAUAAAAGGCAUCACUGUAGACUACAAAAGUCUCCCCCGGAGUCAGUAAGGCAAGCACCGGGGUCGACGUCAAUCUGCUCUUUAACUCUUCGAAGCUCCGAUCACAAUCGUCGCUCAAGACAUACUUUACUCCUUUAUGCAUGAGGCGCGUUAGUGGAGUAGUUAUUUUAGCGAACCCCUACACGAACCGCCGGUAGUAGCCCGCAAGUCCAAAAAAACUGCGGACCUUUGCUACAUUCGUUGGGCGAGGCCAAUCCUUUAUUGCCUCUACCUUCUUCGGAUCUACCGAAACUCCGUCGCCCGAUACCACAUGACCCAAGAAUGUGACUUCCUUUAGCCAAAAGUCACACUUCUUUAACUUUGCAUAGAGCUUCUCCUGUCUGAGUAUUUGCAACACAGCUCUCAGAUGCUCCUCGUGCUCCUCUUCAUUCUUUGAGUAAACCAAUACGUCGUCUAUAAACACCACGACGCACCGGUCCAAUAACGGCCUGAAGACUCGGUUCAUCAAGUCCAUAAAUGCUGCCGGGGCAUUAGUAAGUCCAAAUGGCAUUACCGUGAACUCAUAAUGGCCAUACCGCGUACGGUACGCCGUCUUGUGCACAUCCUUCGGCCUAAUCUUUAGUUGAUGAUACCCCGAUUGGAGAUCAAUCUUCGAAUACACCUUGGACCCUUGCAACUGAUCGAAUAAAUCGUCAAUCCUUGGCAACGGGUACUUGUUCUUUAUCGUUACUUUCUUCAACUCGCGAUAAUCUACGCAGAGUCGAAGUGUGCCAUCCUUUUUCUUUACAAAUAGCACCAGAGCUCCCCACGGUGACACGCUCGGCCUCACGAAGCCUUUAUCGAGCAAGUCUUGUAAUUGGCCUUUUAGCUCCUUUAACUCUACCGGUGCCAUUCUAUACGAAGCAUUCGAAACUGGUUCCGCCCCGGGAAUCAAGUCAAUGACGAACUCAACUUUCCAGUCCGGCGGCAGUCCUGGUAACUCCGCCGGAAACACAUCCGGGUACUCGCACACUACUCGAAUAUCCCCCAACUCUGGGUACUCCUCCUUUCGAGCAUCCACCAUGGUUGCCAAAUAGGCCUUACACCCUCCUUUGAUCAUCCUCUUUGCCAUUACAGACGAUAUGGUCGCCACGAAGCGCCUACUUUUGCACGCUUGGUACACCAAUUCUUCUUGAUCAAGCUCACAAAAAGUGAUCACCUUGCUUUCACAAUCUAUAACCGCAUAGUACUUGGAGAGCCAGUUGGUCCCCAAGAUAACAUCGAAUCCCCACAUCUGAUCUAGCACCAGCAGAUCAAUCGGCAUAAUCCAAUCGCCUAUUUGCACUGGACACGCCAAACACUCAUUGUGGACACUGAAUGAAUGUUCAGGGACGUUCACCCACCAGUAAUCCUCAUUGUAUAUCAUCUCUAUGCCAUGAGUUUGAGCAAAUGAUCCGCUAAUGAAUGAAUGAGAUGCGCCUGUAUCAAAUACUGUUCUAGCUCUAGUGCCUUUAAUCACAAUUAUACCUGCCACGACGUCAUCGGGUGCUGCAGGUUGUUGCUCCUCCACCUGAGCGGCAAAGACUCGGCCACUAGGCGCUCUUGAUCCCUCCGGCUGACGCAGUGAUGACGCGCGCCCAGCCGACAUUGCUGGUGGCAACCCCGCAAGCUGUCUCGGGGUAGACGGUGAUGAUACCACUGCCGGUGCAGACGACGUCCACGUCGGAUACUCCCGGAUAAGAUGUCCCAGUUGGCCGCACUUGAAACACUUGCCAUCGCGCUGCGGGCAAGUCGACACUCGGUGCUCACCGCCACAAAUAACACAUCAAGGAGGUCUCCAGUUCUUCGACUGCUGUCGGGGAUACCGAGAGGGUUUCUUAGUAUUUGGCCGGCCCCCGGCACCACCCGCCGUUCGCUUCUUGCCCUUGUCCUUGCUCUCGGCCAUAGCCUCCUGUUCUUCACGUACGUGGGCGCUACCGUGCUCCGCCCACAAUGCCCUGUCAAAGAUCCCCGCAAAGGUCGACAAUUUCAGAAUCUGCACCUUUUCAUAGAUCCUCGGCUGGAGUCCUCGCAAGAACCAAUCAGCCCGAUCCCGAUCAUCUCGAACAACAUCGGGAACACAGUCAAUAAUGUGAGAGAACUCUUGCUCAUAUUCCCCCACCGAUCGAUCACCCUGUCUCAACUUGCGGAACUUCUCUUGUAGUCUCCGCUUUACCGUGUCGAGAAAGUAGUUCGCGAAGAUUGCUCUCUUGAACUCCUCCCACAGCAUAAGCGGAAGAUCGGUAGGUCGAUCCCGCUUGACUCGCUUCCACCACACCAUCGCCGCCUUCUCAAGACAAUGGGUUGUAAGGUACACUUUGUCCUUCUCCGAGGUAUUGAGAUCCUCGAAGAGCGUUUCCAUCGAGUCGAUCCACGACUCCACAACCGCUGGCUCCACCAAACCGCCUUCAAAGGUAGGUGGGUCAAACUUCUUAAAUUGAAUAAGAGCUGCCAACGUGCGCUCUCGCUCCGCCUCUAUCGCCGCAUUAUCGGGAUUUGAGGUUCCCGACCCAGCUGGUACUACCGUAACUGGAACAGCCGCUGCUGCCGCUGCUCCCCCGUCUACGCUUGGCACUACCACAGGGGGUGCGACAUGCUCGACACCCGCCUGGGCCGCCGCCGCUUGCUGAUGCUCCAAGGCCUCCUGGAGCCGCUGAAUCUGUUCCCCUUGGCGUUGAACAGACUCCGCUUGUUGCCGCACUACGCCUAUAAGUGCGGCCAUCUGCUCCCUAAGCUCUCCAUCGCCACUCGCUCCGGAUCGCUCGGGCUCUGCAUUCGGCUCUUGUGGCAUCGACCUUGUCUGCGGUCGACCACGAGGUGCCAUUACUUCCUGAAAAGAAGCAACUCGCAUUAGUUACAUAACCAACAUUACUUGACCAUACCCAAUUCGGCGAAAGCAACUUAUGCAUUCGUUCUCGCCCAAAGCAUCAUGUCGUCGGCCGCCCGACACAAAACAAGGAGUAGGAAACAAAUGAAAAUUAAACUUAGCCUCUAAUCACAUUAGAGACGUCCCAACUUAACCCAAUCACAUACUUUCGCUAACUUUGAUUCCACGUCACUCACGUUUUCUAGAUCCUUAAGGUCUUCCAAUCCUAAGGGUCUCUAGGUCCAUUCCUAUUCUUUUACUCUUGGCUCUGAUACCACGAUAUCUGUCACGCCCCGGGACCGAUACCAAUUUGGCCCGGCCCGAGCACGUCAAAUAGACGCCGAACGGUCAGAGUUUCCCCUGUCCGCCCAAGGCUCAUCACAUGUACAUUUUCAAACAAGAAGUGCACUAGCGGAAACAUACAUAAACGGCUUACACGAGGGUAAGCAAUAGCCAUGAGUGAAAGAAAGGAAGCUAACUACUACAUAAGUAUUAUGAUUCAUUUUCGAUCAUAUACAUUUCAUUUCAUCCAACUUGUACAUUCAUAAGGUCUUUACAUUUCUUUUCAUCAUUUCUUUUUACAUCACAUUAGCUCAAAUGAAGCAUUACAUUCUUUGCUUUACAUCACUAGUCAUCAAAUACAAAAGAUGAUCAUAGGUAUACUACUACAAAAUGUAAAACUCGACUUGGUAGUCACUGUCAAAGGCGCGAUACCUUUACCGCAGUCGCUCGCCAGCUCGCUCGGUCCCGGCUCUGUGGAAUAGUGGGGUGAGAACUACAACAAAGUUCCCAGUGGGUUCGGCCCCAAUCUCACCGACUUUUCCACUAGAACUAACUCAGGCAUAAUAGAAAGGAUAAGCAAAAUAGUAGCCAAACUAUAAUGAUGAUGCUAAUAUGCCUGAACAAUAAAGCAGGAAGUAUGCUCAAUGUAAAUCAUGCAAGUAUGCAAGUUCUUUGUUCUUUACUCUUUGUUCUUUAACCUUUGUUCUUUGUUCUUUAAUCUCAAGGCUAACCCGGGGGUUUCGCGACAUUAACUUGCCCACAUUAAGUCCACCAUCGCAGGCCCUCAGCUGCCUACCACUAAGACUGUCCUUGGGUUUACUCCAACCCGUGAUGCAAAAACUCCGGAGCGCAUCGCUUGAGGAGGAGUGACCGCCCUUGAGCACGGAACUCAUAGCAAGUAUGAUCGAUCCUUAACUCUAAGGAUAUAUAGUUCAAUCAUUGUCUUUACACUAAUUCUAGUGUUCUUUACAUCACUUUAUUUUGCUAACUCUAGCAAUCAUUGUUCUUUAACUUUACUCGUUCUUUAUGUCACUUUCAUUUUCUUUCCCUGUCUCUAAUCAUUAUCAUUGUUCUUUGCGUCACAUUUCUUUUUGAUGCCACACACACUAACUCUAGUGUCACUUUUCUUUACAUUAUCAAAUGCCACUCGAUCUAUGUUUUAUUGUGUGACUUUGUUCUUUCAUCUCAUUGGGUGCUCACAUUAUAUCUCAUGCAUACAUAUAGGGUUAAAUAGGCUCUCAAACAUUUCAAAUAGCAUGUGUACUCACAUCAUGCAACAUUCACAUGUAUAUCAUCACAUUUACCCUAUAAUGCAUGCAACAAUAUAAAUAUAUGCUCAAUUGAAUGACACAUUAGGCAUAGAAGGAAUUCCAACAAGUUUGGAUAGCACCACCCAUCUCGCAGGCGUACUAGGAUGCUACAAUGAUUUUCUUGGGAUUUUUAGCCGCUUAGUUCGUCACCCGCGGCAAAACGAAGCCCCAUUAGGCCAUUUUGCUCAUAUCUUUACAUUGGCUUUUCGUAACGUCAAUCCGAGUGCACCAACGCGUCGGAAAUACCCCCAAUUAGGUUUCUAGAGAGUCAAUUUCGUUUUGAAACCCUCUUGAUCAAAAGCCCCAAAUUUGGGUGCCCUAGCUCAUAGCGUAUCAAAACCUAGGGUUUGAUCUCUUAGAGAAGCAAAAGUAACCUUCAAAUCAUCUAAAGGUUCUAUUUGAACCAUCCUUAACUCAUUCAAAACCCAUUUUAGGGUUUCACCAUGGGAAGGGUAGAAGCUUUCCUUUAUGCUCACCACCAAUACCAAAAUCCAUGGUAUUGAUCUCUAAAAGAAGCAAAAGAAAACUUCAAAUACUCAAUAGAUUCUAUUAAAACCAUUUCUAGAUCCAUCCAAACCCUAGUUGAGCUUUACCACUAUUGGGGUUCAAAGCUUACCUUGUAAGCUUUCCUUUUCCAAGCUAGGGAAGGAGAGGAGAGGUAUUCUUCUCCUCUUUGCCUUCUCUUCACCUUCUUCCUCUUCUUUUCCUUUCCUUUCUUUCUCUUCUUCUUCUCCUUUUUGUCUUCUAGAGAGAGAAAGAGAGAUGAGAGGGAGUGUGUGAGGGAGAGAAUGAGAGGAAAAAGCCCUCAAAGCCCUCCACUUAACCAUUAGGUUGCACAAAAGCAAAUAGGCCCCUCAACUUUCAUUUUAUUGAACUGCUCAAACUGGGCAAAUUUUGGGUUCGGGGACCGGUCUCCCCGACUUGGGACCGGUCCCAGAGAGCUGCUCCCUGCAGCUGCGCAGGGCUCCCCGCGAUGCAACCGGUCUCUCCCAGGGGGACCGGUCUCUCGGUGUCACGCCCCAAUCCACGCCAAUUCGGUCUGGUUUGGGUCACGUCAACAGACGCCGAACGGACAGAGCCUCCCCUGUCACGCCCCGAGACCGAUGCCAAUUUGGCCCGACCCGAGCACGUCAAACAGACGCCGAACGGACAGAGUUUCCCCUAUCCGCCCAAGGCUCAUCACAUGUACAAUUUCAAUAAGAAGUGCACUAGCGGAAACAUACACAAACGGCUUACACGAGGGUAAGCAAUAGCCAUCAGUGAAAGAAAGGAAAACUAAACAUACACAAGUAACAUGAUUCAUUUUAGAUCAUAUACAUUGCAUUCAUGUCUUACGCUUUGGAUUCCUUUUCAUUUCAUUACAUUACUUCAUCAUUUCUUUCUUACAUCACAUUUACCUCAAAAUAAGCUUACAUUCUUUUCUUUACUUUAUACAUUAACAUCUUAAAUCAUCAAAUACAAAAGAUGAUAAAAGGGAUAAACUGCUAACAAAAUAUAACCCAAUUCAGGUGGCCUCUGACUAAGGCGCGAUACUUUUACCUCGGUCGCUCGCCGGCUCGCUCGGUCCCGGCUCUGUGAAAAUAGUGGGGUGAGAACUACAACAAAGUUCCCAGUGGGUUCGGCCUCAACAUCACCGACUUUCCCACUAGGACUAACUCAGGCAUAAUAAAAAGGAUAAGCUGAAAUAUGGUAACCAAUCUAUAACAUGAUGCUAAUAUGCAUGAACAAAAGCAAGGAAUAUGCUCAACAUUAAUAGAUGCAGAUUAUGCAUGUUCUUUAGUUCUUUUCACUUUACUCUUUGUUCUUUAUUCUUUGUUCUUUGCUCUUUAAUCAUUAAGGCUAACCCGGAGGUUUCGCCACAUUAACUUGCCUCACGUUAAGUCCAUCAUCGCAGGUACUCACCAGCUAGGACCGUCCUUACGGGUCUACUCCAACCCGGAUGCAUAACUCCGGAGCGCAUCGCCCGAGGGGGAGCGACCGCCCUCGAGCACGGAACUCAACAGCAAGUAUGAUCAUAUCCUUAACUCAAAGGAUUAUAGUUCAAUCUUGACUUUACACUAGCUCUAGUGUUCUUUACAUCACUUUAUGUUGCAAACUCAUGCAAUAACAUUCUUUACAUUCUCAUUACUCUUGCUAACUCUAGCAAUCAUUGUUCUUUGCAUUUCUUUUACUUUUGCUAACUCUAGCAAUCACAUUCUUUACUUUUCUUUUACUUUUGCCAUCUUUAGCGUUCUUGUUCUUUACAUUUCUCGUUCUUAUUGCCCCACUUUACUUUAACUUUACACAUUGUCAUUUUCAUCAUUCUUUACAUCACAUUGGUUCUUUGCAUCACACUAACUCUAGUGUCUCUUUACUUUACAUUUUCAAAUGCCACUCGAUCUAUGUCAUUGUGCCACUCUGUUCUUUUGCUCACUUUGGGUGCUCACAUUUUCUCUCAUGCAUACAUCUAGGGUUUUGACAUUAUUAGGUUCUCAACCAUCUCAUUAUGCAAGUUGUGCUCACAAUCAUGCAAUCAUCACAUUUCAUCAUUACUUUACCCUAAAAUGCAUGCAACAAUAUAUAGAACAUAUGCUCAAAGAAUGACACAUUAGGCAUAGAGAGAAGUUCAAUGAGUUUGAGAAGCACCACCCACCUCGUAGGCUUUCAAAGGUGCUCCGAUGAUUUUCUUGGGAUUUUUAGAUGCUGCGUUCUUUACCUGCGGCAAAACGAACCCUUAUUAGGCCAUUUUGCCCAUAACUUUUCAUCGGCUUUUCAUAACGUUAAUCCGAGCGCACCAACGCGUCGGAAAUACCCCCAAUUAGGUUUUUGAAGGGUCAAUUUCACUUAGAAAUCCCCAUGAGCAAAAGCCCCAAUUUGGUGCCCUAGCUCCAAUGCAUAUACAAAACCUAGGGUUUGAUCUCAUUGGGAAGCAAAAAUAGCUUCAUUAUACUCUAAAUAGUCCAUUAGAACCAUUCUUAGGCUUUCCAAAACCCUAGUUGGGAUUUCACCAUGAGAGGUGGUCCAAGCUCACCUCUAUAGCAAAUCUAGAUUUUGAUCUCUUUAGAAGCAAAAGAAAGCUUCAAAACUCUCUAAACAUUUCACUAAAACUCACUUCUAGGUCAUUCAAACCCAUUUCUAGGGUUUUACUACAUUAGGGUUCAAAGCUUACCUUAUAAGCUUUCCCUAACUUGCACUAGAGAGGAAGAAGAUGAAGCCUCUUUGCUCCAAAAGCUUCUUCUUCACCUUCUUCUCCUUCUUUUCCUUCCUUUCUUUCCUUCUUCUUCUUCUCCUUUGCCUUCUAGAGAGAGAGAGGGAGAGAAGAGAGUGUUUGAGAGGGUGGGAAUGAGAGAAAAUCUCAUUAACCCCCAAUACAUAGCUAUUGGGUUGCAAAAUUGCAGCUAAACCCCUCAACUUUCACUUUAAUACACUGCCCGAACUGGGCAUUCCGCGCAGGCAGAGACCGGUCUCCCCGAGCAGGGACCGGUUCCCGAACGUCCACCCUGCGCAGCCAGAGUCGCUGCGCGCGAUGCGACCGGUCUCCCUUUGAUGGGACCGGUCUCUGGGGGACCGGUCUCUCAGGCAGAGACCGGUUCCCGAGAGCUGAUCUUCCAGGACUUAGCCGAUUUUUCGGCUGUCUCAUUUCAUACGCGUUCGGGGACCGGUCUCUCCCACCAGGGACCGGUCCCCGAGAGCUGAAAAUCUGCAGUUUCGCAGAAUUUGAUUCUUUAGCUCUCGAAAACCUUCCACAACUCACUUUUGAUCAUUUUAACACCUUCGGAUUUUCCGAAGUGUUCCAUCCUCGCACUUUGGUCAAUUUGACUAAAGUUCGACAUUUUUAUUUUCCGAAUUUUCGGUACAUUACAUCCCCUGUCCGCCCAAGGCUCUAACCACAUAUAAUUAGGCAAUUAACAAGAGAAUUGCAUAUAUCAUACAAGGCUUACUCGAGGGCAAGCAACAACAGAAGCGAAAGCUCUAAGCUAAAUAUACAACACACGUGAUAUUUGAUUUCUUUUGAACCAAAUUCAAGUAAGUAAUAAUAUUACAUUCCAUUCAACCAUCAUAUCUUUUUACAUUUAGUCAUCCACCAAUUACAUGAUUGUUUUCACUUUACAUACCUAAAUCAACAAAAUAAAGUUGAUACAUAUAUAACAAAAGGGAAUGACUACAAAAUGCAUAAAGUCCCCGGUGGCCGCUACCUACGGCGCCAAACCCUUGCCUCGGUCCUCCGCCGCCCCGCUCAUGCUAGGACCUGCAGGGUUAGUGGUGUGAGAACUACAACGAAGUUCCCAGUGGGCUCGGCAUCCGACCUCGCCGACUUACCCACUAGGUCUAUCCAGGCAUAAGUAUUUCAAAGGAAGAAAAGUAACCAUUACUAAUGCAACUAAUACUAUGCCUGCAAGGAAGAGUCAGUAGAUAAACAAUUGCAAUACAAAUAUGGAAAUGCAUGCAUGCUCCAAUCAUGAUCAAACUUUGGCUCUUACCCAAUCUUGCCGAUUAACUCUGUUAACCCCAAUGACUCACAACGCAAAAUUCCUUAAUAACGGAGGACUCGAACCUCCCUAGGGACCGUCAACUGGUGGGACUUUACCACGCCCAGUGGUGACCAACUCCGGAGCGCACCGCUCGAGGGGGAGCGACCUNNNNNNNNNNNNNNNNNNNNNNNNNNNNNNNNNNNNNNNNNNNNNNNNNNNNNNNNNNNNNNNNNNNNNNNNNNNNNNNNNNNNNNNNNNNNNNNNNNNNUAUUGUUUUUCCUUCGGGCCCGAGCGAGGGGCAGCCCUCCUUGCUGACUGCUGCUGUUAUGUUCUAGGCACAGCCAGCGACAGCAGCGUUUGCAGCAAGCAGCAGGAGCUGGCAAGCAGCAGCGCAUGUGCAGCAGCCGCAGUGGCCUCAGCUGCAGCUAGCAAUAUUUAUUGCGGCUGCCAGGGCCAGCAAAAAAAAGAAAGAAAAGGAAAGCAAAGAAGGAAAAGAAAGAAAACAAGAGAGAAAGAAGGAAGAGCAAGAAGAAAGAAAGAAACGAAAAGAUAGAUAGGAAUGCUAACUUGAAGUUCUGAUUUUGAAUUCUUGCUUUUGCUCAUACACAUAUAAUCUAGAAGUAAGACUUAUUAUGAGCUUUAUGUUGAAAACUGACCGUCGAUAAUGCACUUUUUGCAGGAUAAAGUCUAACAUGAAAUUACCAGUUAUAAACCUAAUGAGGUAAAAUCAAACCCUAGAACAGUUGGCGAAGCUCAGGUUUCGGCAAUCCUUGUGUAGCCUGACCGGGGGGGAGAGGGAGGGGGAUCCGCCAACGAGGGGGGUGAGUUCCGUCCCCCCCUAUCCCGUGUAAGCGCUGUAGAUGAUUUUCGUCCUUUGAUUGUUUUUGUUUUUUGCUUGUGAUUAUUUUGCUAAAAAACUUUCUUCCUUCUUUAGGUUAAGCUGCGAGACAGGGAAAGUGCUCGGUUGGUUCUAGAGGUUUCUUAAUGAACACUUCGCGAAUAUAUACCUCAUUAAGGGGUAACUUGUGUGAAUAGCUAUAUCUCAUUAGUAGUACAGAAUGGUAACAAAUACGUAUCUACGUAUCUAUUCAGAUUAAGUAGACCUGAAUAGUUUGACUCGCCAAGCUUUUGAGUUAUGCCCAAAUAAGGAUGGCCUACUUUCGUGCAGGUGUAGGCAAAGAGUCAAGUGUCUAAGCCAUCUAAAUUUAAAGUUAAUGUUCUCAUUUCCUAUUCAUUCGUUCUCUGGUGGGGGGUAGGUCAGUCAUUUUCACAACUCUAUAACUUAUAUUUCUUAGCCAUUUCAAUGUUUUAAAGUUAGUCUUUUCACUGUUUCCCUUGAAAUUCUUCAGACCUUGUGGGCGUGAGUGUGUGCGAUUGCUGUGAUCUUUUUAGUCUUUGUUUCCUAUAAUUAUUUGUACGUUAUCCCGGUUGUGGAGUGGGUUGAUCAGGUGGGGAUUUGCCUAUUAUCUCGCCGUGUCUUCCCUUCCUUUCCUUCCCCGGGACAAGCUUAAUUUAGCACUCAGUUAAACUAUAUUGUCUCCAAAGCUGAUUAUAGUUCAUUAUAAUUUUAUGCUCCUAGAAAAGGGAAUGCAAAAAUGCAGGAGGGUAUUGUUGCGUGAAUUAACAAGAUCUUUGAAGGUCUGGUAAAAUCUGUGACCUUAGUGAGGGGAUUUGUUGGAGGGAAUGUAGUGGAGAGACCGGGGAAUACGGCCCAUUGGAUUAGUCAGUACAGCUAAGUAAAUCGCAUUAUAUGUGAUAUUAGGCUUUUUUUUAGUUAUUCGCUUAAUUGUUAUUUAUUCUUUGGAUUUCCUCACACUCAUGCACCGGGGGCGGGCCGACAAAUACCGGGGGAAAAAAACACAUUUUUAUUCCUAACCCCCUUUCGGCCCCCUUUGGCAAAACACCUCCCCAAUAUGAACCCUUUUCUUCGGGGUGCCCUUCCGGUAACAACCCCCCCUUUUUACCCCCAAAGGGUGUUGGGUUUGAGGUGAGUGACUAAAUUAUACAAACCUCGUGUGUAGACCAGUCGUCGAUAGUGCUGCAUAGCAAAAAGCUAUCAGUUCUGUGAGUCUGGUGAGCUUAUUGUAUUUGAUAUUGCUUUUGAGUUCUGUAAUUACCUUGACUACAACCUUAGAUUUCAGGCUAUAACGUUUUUGCUAUCUAUUUUUUUAAACCAUGAUCUGAUAAUUGGUUGGGAAUGAAGGCUGGGACACUUUUAAGCAAGUGGAAGCGUGUAAGAUUAGGCAGAUAAAAGCUAAACAAAACUGACAAUCAAAGGCAAAAUGAUAUAGUAUAAAGUCUACCAUUUUACUCAAUUUUGAUUGUCUUUUGUGUCUAGGAACCAGAAUUUGAAUCUUUGUUAAAUAACGUAAUUUACUUAUAAUUCCGUUAGUUUGGCCAAUAAUAGUGUCCCCACCAAAGUCAGACGGUUCUGUUUUGAUUGGUGUAAUCCUCAGCUCCUUUUUUACUAUUAAGUACACGCGAGCAGUAGUUCUGAUUGGAGGUUUUCCUCAAUUGAGGUAGUCUGACGGAGGGUGGAGUACUAAAUUAGCUGGUCUGCUAGGAAUUUCUUUUUCUAGUCAUUAAUGUGUAAUAUUUCUCUUUUCCUAGUCAUUUUUUAGCUUGAUAGAUUCCAUUCUUGCUCUCGUAAUUAACCUCAGCUUAUAAUAUUAAGUAUUUUGUAUUUCAUACCCCCUUUUGGCUAAUCCUAAUUAAGUGACUGUUCGCUCUUAACGUAAUAUCUCGAGCUUAAAUAUUAAUUAGUUCCAUUCGUGGGUACUUUAUGCUUUGAAAUUAUUUUGAAGCUCCAAUGUCUGAAUUUUUCUUACCAGGUUUAAAUUACCUAUUUUGGUCGUAGAGUUGGAAAACCAUCAAUCGAGAAUAAUUCCAGCUUGGGAGCUUUGAAAAACUGAUGUAAGUGAUUGCUUUUCUCUAGUCUUAGAUCAAUCUUAAAUACAUCAGAAGAAGUUUUUUAAGUGAUUUAAUUAGAACACAUAUAUUGCAUGGUAAUGCUAAAUGUUGUAGCUGACAAUUCCUCAGCCGAUCUCCAGUGCUGAACGCCAUUAGCUAUCUGUAUUCUUUUCUGACUCAUAAAGACUUUCAUAGUCAUCCCUUUCCUCCGUCUUUCCCAUUAAGCUUAUCUUCCAUACUGGAAUCAGAUGACACUUCCUUGCCCUAGUUUAUUAGCACUAUAUCUGCUUUCAUUUAAGACUAAUCUUAGGUAGAGACUUAGAUCUAAGAACCUGAUAUACUACAUAAAGGGAAAUUAGCUACUCAAAAGAUCGAUGAUUGUUCUGGCAAAAACUGUCAGGUUCCAUGACACAUUUCUAUGAUCCAGUUCCACGCCUCCCUAAUGCUGAAUUACAUUGUUUAAUAAAGACUUCUAGAAAUACUUAUAAAGUAUUGAGCUAAGAUCUUGAUAACUCAGCCUAAAGUUGCAUGCUAUUGAUCCCUGAUCUUUGAUUAGAAAACUUAGAAGUUGAUGAGAUUUUUGAAAGUUGUUAAUAAAACUAUGUACAGUUCUAUGCUGUAAGUAGUAUUACACAUAGAUGAAUGUUGAAUAGAGAAGAUCUACUGGAGAAAAUCGGAAGAAGAUCAUGGACACGCAAUGGUAAUCUCUGUUUAUUAACUUUAUAAAUGAAGUUAACAUUCUGCCCAAAAGUUCAAAUUGACAUCUGGACGAGGGCAAAACGGGAACAGUCGACGACGCAAGACGCUAAAUAUUACCGGUAGAGAAUCCAGUUUGUCUAGUCCAUUUGCCACUGAGGUCGCGAAAGCUAUGUUGCUCGGCGCCAUUCGCGAGACGUCGAGAUCUUAGGUGGCAUUUGACACCACUACAGAGGUGGGGAGGGGGGUGUCUCAUCUGUAAGUCUUUUUUGACUCACGUGUUUUAUGCUCUUAUGGGGUAGUAUCAUUGAAGCGCGAUGAUUUACUUGCUGUGGUCUUUUUUCUUGGAUGCAAUAGAAGGGUACGUCUUCGGGAGUGUAGGGAUUGAUGCAGAGAUGAUAUUGAACGGCGGGUUGAUCGUAUGAGGUAGUAAGGGAACAUUGAUGAACUAGAAUGUGCGACAGUGUAGAACCCUAUGAAUGCACGGAGCGGAUAACAAUAGCUGAACUUUGGGGGACAUAUGGACUCGUAGAGGAUGGUGUGGCGGGUUAGCAUCGAUCAUGGGAAUUUAUAAAGACUAGCAUAAGGAGCUAUUGUUAUUAGUUAUUAGUGUGAUCUCCCUUAGUGGGUUUGGUCAGUUGAAAUCCUAAAGGGGCUUCAUCAGAUCGAGCUUGCGACAUUUGUCUUGGGUCGAGGGGGGGCAUCGUAAGCUAGUCGCUCCUCAUAUGAACGAUGAGACUCCGGUAGGUACGCUCAUCUAUACGGGACCAAGAGGAGAGGUGCCGUUCGUCCCGCGCACAGUUCGACCCACCGGGUGGGGCCGGGUCGGCGUGCAGGGUAUGCGAUACGUGGGCCCCGGAUGAUUUAGGGGGAGGGGUAGUGAGCGGGUCAUGUGAGGUCUGGUUGACCAUGGAAGACCCAGAUUAACCAAAAGAUUGAAGGGUUAAAGUUAACAUGAAAAAAGACAUGCCAUGCAUAUUUACAGUUUUAUUACUACUCCUUCAGCUUUGAUAUAAGGCAUUGAUAGUAGUGGAUACAUAUAAUGUAAGAAUUUUACUAUUCUCCCAACCACCCUUUACUGUAUUUCUAUUGCCGAAUAUAUGCUAGUUAGACCUAGUGAACAUGAGGGAAAGGGGCCAAGGGGGGGAAAAAAAAAAAAUAAAAAGGGACUUAAAAAGCGUAUUAAACAAGAGGAAAGGCAGGAAAAAGGAAGGGGAGGGGCGGCGAGUCGUCGAGAAUGGGUAGGUAAAAGACUGAAGGGGCGUACUGUGGGAACUAUUUCUUGAUAGUUCAUACAACUUACCUAUCUAACCUACAAUGUUUCCAUGAAUUUUCGGCUCUCGCAUGCGUCUUGUGACAAAUUAGUUUUGCAAAAGGCCACAAAGAAAAAUCACGAUCCUAGGCAUAAGCGAACACCAGACAGUAUAUAGAAUGUUUAACUAUUAUUUUGUUAUAGUUCUAUUGUUUAUCAUUUUUAUUUCUUGAUUAUGUAAAUGUUACUUAUUUUUUUGUCAAAACUUUAUGAAUGUGCUUAAUAAAGCAUGUAAUAAACUAAGAUAGUUUUUAAGUAUUAAGUAAAGUUUUAAAUACAAUGGAUUAUCAUGUUUAGUUAGACUUACUAUCACGUGGUUGUGCUUGUCUUCGUGCAAGCCAAAUGUAUAUUUGAUUAAUGUAUAUUCCUUUGGUAUUUUUAUUUUCUUAUAGUACAUGCUUAUUUUCUCUUUUUGUUAUUUUUGAGUUCCAUUUUGGUUCAAAUAUAACGCCGAACAGAGGAAAGUGACUGUUACGAUUUCAAAAUUAGGAAAGAUCUCGUGUCCACCCAGCGAAGGCCCGAGGACCUUUUGUUUAACGACAAUCUGUUUGCUGGUUUUAGAUAAAGCGGGACGUGACAGGAUGCAGUGCCAGCUAGAUAGCAUGUCGUAUAGGACGACGGUAUAAGGUAGUUGCUUAAAGAGACCACGAUUGCCAUGGUGUUACCAUUUGUGAAAGACUUUGUGGAGCCUAGAGCCACCCAAAUAAAAAAGCCUUGCCUUUUUGUCGGGUAGGGCAUCUCAGUCAGGCUGGUUGAAGGAGUGACAGCGCACCCGCAGACCACGGGACGGGGUAAUUAGUGGCAGUAUUGUUAGUUUUAUCUUUAACCAGGUACAGAAGAAACUUUGUGUUGUUUAGUCCGUUAGUGUCUUUUUAGUAUCCUUUGUUUCUUUUUUUUCUUUUCACGCGUUGGAUGCUACCGUGUUUUAGAUCUUUUAAUUGAGAUUGAUGAACACAUGAAGAAUGAAUUGUAGAAGACCUCUCACUAUCCCUCAGAGGAACUGUGGAACGUGGUGUAGGUUGGUGAGUCUUGGUAUGCUCCUAGAUUGGAGUGACUUGGGCACCUACCCUUAAAGUGUGUGAUUUGUCGUAUAUUCAUCAAAUGAGAAUGAUCGCCGAUGAAUGAUUGGUCUACGAACCGAACGAGAAGCGCUAUGCAUAGAUAUGCGACAAGUAUGGGCUAGAUUAAGCCUACGUAGGACUGUUUUUUAGUAUUUGGACCUGUGUCUCCAAAAAUUCAACCAAUUGAGAUCAAGUAUUUUCUUGUCUUUAUAAAAAGGAUAGCAGGGUGGCCAUUAUCAGAUGAGUUAUACAGCGUGUGAUUCGGGGGACGAAUUAGUGUUCAGUAUGGAAGUCGAAUUGCAAAGAGCGAAUGAAUUGUUUAAGUAAGGAUGGCGGUUGUUUUAGUAGUCUACUAACGCCCGACUAAGGCGAAGUAAAGCUUGCGUCUCGUUUUUGUUGGUUACUAUCUUUUCGAGUAUUUCUUUAUUAUAUAGUCUCCAUUGUUCUUUUAUGAUGUUAUUGUGUGGAGCGUUUGUAGUAAUGAUUUGCCUCCUUUUUUAUGGAAUUGAGAUCCCCAUGAUUGUAUUGCUGUUAGAGGUUGUGGCAUUCUCGUUUUUUUAUCUUUUGUGAGCAUAGGAUUUCUAGUUCGAGAUUUUGAAGCGACUUCUUGCUGGUGUUUAAAAAACAACGUUUUGUGUUCGAUUGCUUUUUUUUUAUUAUUUCUCAUUUCUCGAAAUUGCUUUUUCUUAAGCAAUGCCGGUUAUUCGAAUUUCGGAGGAAAUUCAAACUGGGGGUCCACCUUCAGGAUUUUUUUUUUGAAGGUGAGUAGUAGAGGUCGAAAGAAGCAGUUCCUGAUUGUAAGCACGUGAUUGGUUUUACUUGCGAUAUGGCAUAAUAAUACUGAAAACUAUCUAUGCUUCUUUUAUCAUUCUUUCCUUGUUUUCCCUUGUGUGUGUUCGUUUCUUUUUUUGGUUGUGGGCCACUGGUGUAUUUGUAGUUUUCUUCUAAUUUUGUGGUAUUAAUUUAGGGCACACCCUCUGACAACCUUUAUGUUUGGUUCUCGAUGUCAUUUGGAUAUUGUUUCCCUGUGUUAUUUGUCUCGAUAUAUGUUUCCCUGUGUGAUUUCUUUUUUAAGGAGUGUAUUUUUUGAGUUACUUAACACCAUAGUACUCUGUGUGUGUUCACGAAAAUUCUUUUAUUUAAGCCUGGGCUUUUUAGAGAAAUGUAAGGGUGUUGAAUGUUUAAAUAUUAAAUACCGACUCAAAAAUCAUGAAAUUAACGCUGUCCAUUUGGAUUGGAAACAUAACAUUGAUUGAUUCCAGGUAAGCGUUGCGGUUGAAAUGUAACAAUUAGUACCGGAUUUAAAUAAUAGAAAAAUAUAGAAAUAAAUAAAAAAUAGUAUGGUUAGAUACUAUUUUUAUUGAAUUUAGAGAAGAUGAAAUAUAAGUGGCGAAUGACCUGCUGCUGAAAUCGGAAUAAAACAGAAGGAUUUAGAAUUUUCUGUUGAAACGGGCAGAUAAGUUGAUUAGCAUGUUAAUAAAUGCACGCUCUCAGAAAUAUGAAAAUUGAGGUAUAAGUCAGAAAUAUUUGUUUAUGAGGGGCUAAUUUAGCGUUUCAUAUUUUCUGACACCUGUAAUGGAGAAAUAAAAAUCCGAAGAGCUAUCUGAUAAGAUUGCAGUCUUGAUUACCAAAGAGGGGGAGGGGGUACGAGUGUGUUCAGGGGUGGUGAGCCAGGGGUCGGGGGGGGGGGAGUCAAUAUUAGUUAACCAAAACACAGACGAAGAAAGUUCAAAAACUGAGCCACAUAGAGUCGUACAAGCUUGUAAGUAUACGAUAUAAAACCGAAGCAUGACUGUCAAGCUUUGAUCUCAAACGGUAAACAAUUAUCAGGAGGAAGUUCGGCGAAAAGAUAUCGGCAUUUCAAAGACUGCCCGGGAAUGAAUAGUGUAUUGAGGGGGUUCGUUAAUAUAUAGAAGAUAAGCAACAACUUCUUCUCCCCCUCAACCGUGCACACCCAAGAUUCACACGCACACACGCAUGAGAAUGAAGGAGAACAGAAAUGUCCCUCCUCUCUCUAAGAACCCCUUUCUCCUCUAAAAUCUCUUGCCAAAGAUGUGAUGGAUUUGCGUGGAGAAGCUAAGCUUGGAAGGUUGAUCCUUCUAUCACUUCAUCUUCUUCCUCUCCAUUGGAGCAUACUGUUGAAGGUAAGCUAAUCAAAAAACUCCAUGAUAAUGGGGCGGGAUUUCUCUAUUGCUUGGGUUUUAAGCUAGAAAAACCGAAAAAAGGAUAGUAUGGCUUUCCUGAAUUCGCUAAAAGAUGAUUGUAUGGCUUAGGUCCAUAAGUUGUAAUGUGUAGUUUUACCUAUUUGAACCAAGAGCUCAAAAAUGAAAGGCUUAAAACUGCGUAGAUCUCUAAGAAUAGUCUAAUCUUGGAAAUUGGUUAUAUAAUAACCACCCACAGUGAUGGGUCUUAGAUUAGAAUGGUUUAAUGCUUUGAAUUUUCUUUAAAGUAAUUUUUAUUAUGUAUAUUCUGCAAUAAGUUUGAUAUAAAACUAGGGACUCAAAAUGCUAACUUUCAAUAAUUUUGUUGUUGUUUUUUUUAUUCUCUUUUUUUAUACUCUCUUUUCUGCUUAAUACAUUAGUUGCGUUUUAUGGUAGUUUUAAGGUAUACGAAAAUACGCUAAAACAAUGUCAUUGUUUGUCCGCUGAAGAACUCGUUCUGCAAGUUUUCCGACGACGCGCUUACAAAUUAAUUAAAAGAAACGGACGUUAGGCUCGGUUUCCGCCUGGAGCCGAUAUUUGGCUGUACGAUCAGUAAAAUCCUGACAAACGAAGACAUCAGAAGGCAGUGGCUGACAAGAAACGAAGACUGUUAAGUAUUUCGAGAAGUAUUGCGGAAUCGAAAGGCGUUUAAUAAAGUUUCAUAAGGCUGCAAAAGACAAGCGGAUUGGAUGCAGAGGGGUACCGAACGGCGUAGCUCGGCGGCGUGGGGAAUCAUGCAGGCCGAUUAGCAAGAGGUGGACGCAAAGAGCGAGCUUUAAUUCGGAAGCGCUGCUAUUUUUGAAUCACAGGUUAUUUGGUGUUUUCUUGUGUGUGUUUUAUAUGCCAUCACGAUAGUCAUCGGGCUUCUCCUAAAAAAUAAGUUUUUUUGUUUCAUUAGUGCUUAAUCCUCCUCCCUCUCGUUUCAUUUCAUUUGGUUAGCCCAUAUUUGUUAUGUUUGCUUAUGCACUUUUUUUAGGGAACGACAAUACAUGCAUAUGCCUAUUCCUUAUAUUGAAGUUUAAUAUUUUUAUGUUGAUCGGAAGAUAAUAUUUGAGUAGUCGGUUUAUUUAUGAUUAUUAUAUGGAGUGUUUUCUUAAUAUAUCUUGUAAUGGAUAAGAGAGAGUAAUCAUAUGACUUAUUCGUAAAGCUGUAUGAUGAAUAUAAAUGAAGAGAAUGAACCUAGUUUGUGUAUUUAAAGACAUAUUUACAAAAGAAUUUAAUUUGCAUUUUUGAACUUAUUGUUAUAGCUUAGAAAAAUGCAACAUGACUUUAACUGUAGUAAUGGAUUUUGGUUAAAGAAAAAACAAAAGUGGCUACUGGGAAACUUCUUAUUGUUAACAUUUUUGAUACAAGUUUAUUUAAUUAAUUUUCGUUAUCCAUAUUGGAAAUGCGCAGGGGAGUGUAAAAUUUAUUAAAACAUAAAAGUUAUUUAAAGUUUUUUUUUGUACUUCGUGGUCAAAUUGUAUACUAUGGUCUCUCUAUAGGACAAAUAAUUAAGGGUCAGAGGUUGUUAGUUGUUCUUUUUGUAGAUCAAAUAACAUUAAUUUGUUUUUUCUAGUUUAUUGACCCAUUGAGAUUGGAACUUAGUGUGUGGAAAACCCUAUCAAAGUGGGGCAAAAAUGUUUGAUGAUUAAUGUGAGUUUAAACUAGGGGUACAUUAGCAGAAAUGACAUUAAAAUCAUAUGAAUUUUUGCUAUAUUUUGUUUAUUUUAUUUGUCACUUAUUUGUUGUGCAAUAGAAUAGAAUAUAUGUUCACAAUGCUCAUAUUGCAUGUAGUUAGCUAACAGCUUAAAAUGAUUUGAUUCAUGAAUCUUUAAGUAUGCAUAGAUCGUGUCAUAUUUAUAUGCUAUUUGUAAUAUACUCAGGGGCUAUGAGUUAAAGAUCUCUGACCUAUGUUUUAAUUAUGUUUAUUUUUUUUUAAUUCUUUUUAUGUUAGCUAAAGAACUAGUAUGAGUGUAUAUUACUUACAAAAUGGUAAAUGUAACUGAGCCUCCAAAUGAACGAAAUUUAUUUGUUUCAUUGGUCAUUUCUAAGUUUUUUAGAUUAAUAUCUUUAUGUAUGUUUAGUUGUGUAUUUAUUUUGAUUUGGUUAAUACCUUUGACUCUUUGUAGAAAACCUUUAUGUUGUUAUUGUUGUAUUUAAUUCACUUAUGUUACAGAUGCCCCCUUUUUAAUUUUUCUGGUUUUGUACAAUUGAUAACAUCCUUUGAUUCCUAUGUAUGAGUGAUUGACCGCUUAUUAAGGGUGGUUAUAGCUGCUUGUUUAUUUUUUGUCAUCGGGAGAAUGAAUUCUACUUCUUCCUAUUGCCUAGUCUGUGCUGUGGGGUUCGCUCCCUCCAGUUUGGCGCUCCGGGAGUUUUGGUCUUACUUAGAGAGGUUCAACCUUGCUUGCUCUUCGGUAAGCCCGCUUGUUAUCCGCAGGCGUACUCGAGGGAUCGACCAACUAUGGCAUCUCUCUUAGGAGAUGAUAUGUGACCUUGCUGUGAACCUUGUGUUCACCACCGAGAUUGUGUUACCUAUUGAGUCAUACCCGAUUAUUCUUUUGUUAUGAUAGCUUGCUUUCCAUUAGUGUUGUUGUUGUUCAUAAGUAGCUUACUAGUAGUAUGGUUAGGGUUUUUACUUAUUUUUUUUUUGCUCUAUUCCUCUCAUGCAUAUAAAUAUACCAUUUCACCUAAGAAGAUUGGCCCACUGUCUGGGAGUAGCCUAUUGCAGUCACUCACUCAUAUAUUGUUGUUCAUGAUAGUUGCUUCCAUAGUUUUUGUUCAUUGUUCACCAUAUGAGAUUUGAGUAGAAGCUAGCCGGCGGGGGUUCAACAGGUUGUAUCUAGUAAGUCGAGAUGGUGAGUGGCCAAAGUGCGGGUAGCCUUUGCUUAGGAACCUUGACAUUGAGUCGGCGAGGGGCGAGGGCGUAGCUCUUUGCCUGGGACUCACGAGAUUGGGUCAGACCUUUGAGAUAUGAGUCGAGUAGAGACAGAGUGAGGUAGCUCUUCACCUAUAGAUUUGAAUCUUAGGCAAGUUAGCAGCGGAUUGGUAAUAACAUGAAUAGCAUAAGAGAUUGCAUUCAUACCUUGAUUAGACAUAGUUGCAUGGUGCUCAUAAACUUAUGUUGUUGUAUGUAUUUAUCUUCACUGUUGAGGCAUAUUAGAUGAUAAGAUAGCUUGUGCUUAGAUGAUGUUCCAUGAACUUUGCAUUUGCAAUAGCCAUUAGUAGAUAUAAGUCGUGCAGACUUUCCAUAUAAUGGUGUCUAUCUAGUCGUAUCUGGGGUGGGGCGUUGCCAGCUUAUGGAGAGCCUAGUGGGGAGGAUCGGGCUAAAGGCUGGAGAUGCGGCGGCGAAUCCACUGGGAACUAUAUUAUAUAUUCUCACCCCGUUUGUUUUGGUUGUGCCUACAGCGUUUAACUCACGGGAGAAGAAGCGAUCGGCACAGAGAGAUCGCGUUAUGGCUUAGCGCCCUCCAGCCCCCGCCUUCUAGUUUGAUCUAGUUUUUUACUUUUUCCUUCUAUAUUGCAUUAGAGUUACCUAUUACAUAUAAUUAGAAGUAGAUGAUGUAUAGGAUGUGAGUAUUUUAGAUAAAUGGUAAACUAAGUUUAUCUCUUUGAAGAAUAAUGUAAGCUUAUAUUCAUAGUUUGGAAAAGAAUGCAAGUUGUAAUUAAAUGUAUCGAGCUGAAUGGUUGUAAUAGAAUAGUUAAGUAUCUCUCUUUUGUUUCACUUGUAUGUCUUCUACUUGUGACGCUUGCUCUUGUAUUGUUCAGCACUGUUUGUGCUCUCGCUGUUGUUGCAUGAUCAUGUAUGUAUUCAAGUUGAUUUCCUGGGGACUUGUUGUACAUGAUCUCGUUGUUUAGCCUUGGGCGGACAGGGGAGGUGCUGUCCGUUCGGCGGUCCGCCUGCCGCGCCCGAACCGUGCCAAAUCGGUAGCGGCCUCGGGGCGCGGGGCGUGACACUAGCGAAGUGCUAGAAGUAAUCUAUGGCGAGAAGUGAGACUCGCGGUAGAGAUAGAAGUGGCGAAACGACUCUCAGAGCAAUAUGAAUAAUAAAUUGCGAGAGUUGAGCCAUGAUGCUUAUGAGAACACCCGAGUGGCCCGAAAAUUUCGGAUGUCAUUCCGGUAGAUUGAACAGUGAAGGUAGCAUCACUGUUGAGAGAACGGUCGAUUAGUGGCCAAGUUUGAGCACGUGGGCCUAGUAGUACCUCAAUGUGAGGUAAGAGGGUCGUGCUUGUGUAGUUGGCGUACAUAGGCAAGAACUGCCUAACACUAGACUUAGUGUGGAACGCUAUAGAGGCGUAUGACGUUCGAGUAUAGGUACUCGUGGAGUGCGGAUAUGGAUCAGCCGAGUGAGUGUGUUGGCAGUAGCACUUGAGCAUUGCUAGGUGUGAAGCGUGCCAUGGAUCACUCGUGGGAUUGGGUCUUGUGACAUAGAAUCCUAUAGCGGCAUAAAGAGCCGAACUUGGACAUAGCCUAGUAGAGGGGCGUUGAACUAGUGUAGUAAAAACACUAAACAAGAACGAGUAGCAUGUCAAUUAGCUAGAAAACUUACUACAAUGAUCAAACGAGUGGCAUUGAGUCUAGUAUUGUAAACUUGACAUGAACUUAGGGAUAGUAGAGAUCCCGGCAUUUAGUAUGCAUUGUAUUUUGUGCAGCAGAGACACAUUGAUCCUAGUAGACAGGGUAUCCUCUUGUGAGGAUUGGAUCAUACUCACUAGUCUGUUUUUGCUUGUCGGUGGUCGCUCCACCGAGGCACGAGUCUCCGGAAUACUUCACUAGGGGCAGAUGUAGUUAUCCCGCAGACGGUCUCGGUGUGCGAGUGCAGUUUCUCCUCACCUAUGAGAUUGAGAGUGAGUCGAGGGUUUAACCUACGGGUUAACCAAGUAGAUUGGGUAAUAAACAUGAAUGCAUGGUAGACUUGCAUGAUUACCUUGAGAAGACAUAGUGUAUGUUGUAGUUUGCAUUGCUAUAUACUUUUCUAUACUCAUGACAUGGUACUAGCAUGAUAGUAGUUGUUGCAUGCAUUACCAUCAUUGAUGGCAUGAUAGAGUAGUUGCAGUUCAUUUCUAUAUAUAUCUAUCUAUCUCUCUAUCUGUGCCAGCUUAGACCUAGUGGGAAAACCGGCGACGUCAGCGGCCGAACCUACUGGGAACUAUAUUUAUAUAGUUCUCACCCCGUGUGGUUUUGGGGUAUAGGUACACACAGAGGCGAGUCAAGCGAGGACCGCGGCAAGGGCGUAGCGCCCUAAGUGAGCUUAGUUAGUAGCUUUUCCUUUAUGCAUUAGAGUACCCUCAUGUACUAGAUGAUGUUUUGGAUAGAUAUGGGAGAGCUACUUGUAUUUUGAGAAAAAUAUGUAUUUACAUUUUGGAAGAUGAAAAAUGUAAUGUAAUCAGAUGAUGUAACUAUUGAAUAGUUGUAAUAGUUAGACUAUCUCUCUUUAUAUACUUGUAUAUCACUUGUGGUUCUUGCUCUUAGAUGUAUUGCACUUAUGUGCACCGUAUUCGAUCAUGUAUGUUAUUUAAGCAAAUUCCUAGGUGCUUAACUGUACAUGAUUUGGUUGCUUAGCCUUGGGCGGACAGGAGAGGUGCUGUCCGUUCGGCGGUCCGUCCGGCACGCCCGAACCCUGGCCAGAGACCUGAACUCCCUGGCCAGGGGCUUCCAGGUCUUUUUGUCGUAAAGGUCUGAAUCGGUUUAAAAGUCGAAAAAGUGGCAAAAGCGAGGCAAAAGCGAGCAAACUGGAGGCUAAGCAAAGUUUAGCUUGGUUCUGAGAGGGUUGUACAAAAGUUCGUACAAAAGUAGUAGAAAAGUAGGUACUAUUACGACCUAAAUUAGGUACCUGGUUGUACCGGAAAGUCGAGGGAAAAUCACGGAUGCGCGUGGCUUAGCGGGCCUAAGAGGGCUUGAAGUGGCCUUGGAAAGUUUACCGAAAGGUUAGCUUCUAUGUGGUAUUGAAGUACCAAAAUCUUCAGGCCAUGGAAUGUGUUAGAGUGGCUGAAAAGGUGAUCCUGAUUGAAUCCGUAUUAUCUUUCCUAUUCGUCUUAUCAUUGGUUGGAUAUUAGUACUACGAUUAUACGGACUUGUUAUUUCGUUCUUUAUAUGAGUUGCAUUUAGUACGUUUAUACGUUUAAGAAACCAGAAAUGGGAAAUAAGAAAUUCGAAACAAGAAACAAGAAAUUAGAGUGCCGAUUGGGCCCCCAAAGCGGUGUAAUUGAACGGGUGUAAUUCAGGUAGUAGCGCCUGGGAGUCGACGGAGGGCGAUUAUGGCAGGAGCCUAAAUGAGAUUGGGCACUACGUUUUGAGGCCUCGCGUAGCGAGCUCCCCCUCGCUGGCGGGAGCUCGUGCCUUGAGUAUCGUUCAUACUAGCUAGGAAUUGAGAUUCCUAUGUAUCAAGUUAGUAACAGAAAUGUGAUUGAGAUCACAAGAAAUGUAGUGAAAUAAAACGAUUGAGAUCGUUAGUAGCAAGAAAUUGAAAUGAGCAAGAAAUACGGUGAAAGUAAAAGAAAUGAACAGAGAUUAGUAAUCACAGUGCGGGGCGGGGUUUAGGUGAUGGUUAAACCGUGNNNNNNNNNNNNNNNNNNNNNNNNNAAGGAGGAGGAAGCUGAAGAAGACUUCAUCCUCAUAUCUUCUUCCUUGGCCAUUGGAGAAGCUUGUUUGAGGUAAGCUUUACACCCUCUAAUGGUAGCUUCUAGUUUAUGGGUUUUUAAGCUCUAGAAAUGGAAUUUAAUGGUGAUUUAGAGACUGUUAAUCUCAUUUGUUGCAAGAUCUAUAGCUGAUGUUGCUCUUGCCACACAUGAGGAGUUAGAGCUCCAAAUGAGAGCUUUAAUGUAGAUCUCUAGGGCUUGGUCUUAUGCUCUAGAAAUGGAUUUAGUAGCCUUCCUAGAUGCUAAUUAGAUGGAUUGUGUUUAGAUCCAAAGUUCUAAUGUGGGUUUUUGUCUAAUUGCGACCUAGGCUCCAAAAUGGGGUUUUUUCAAAUAUAAGGUUUGAUCUCAUUUGAGUGGUCAAAACCUAAUUGUUAUGUCUCCGAACGCGUAGGAAGCGACGGUUCGUCGAUUCGUUGAGCGGGUGCGACGUUCCGGCUAAAACAAGUGUUGUAGGUUCGUUUCUGCCUGGAGGGCCGAGGCGACGUCGUAAGGUCGUGAAAAUGGAUUCGUGGCAUUCGUGGCAUCAAACCGAAGACCUAUAAUUUCGGAGGCUGCGAAGGGAACACGAUUGAGGCGCGGUUGCAAGUAUUGGCCUGAACCGGGUCACGGGUGCCACGGGAGGCCGAUUGCAAGUGACUACGAGCAAUCGAACUCGAUGACAGGUGGGUUUGUGUUUUACCGAAGCGACUAGGUCGCCUGCAUGUCAAAGUGUAUUAUGAGUUCCUGUUGACGCAUAUGUAUGAGCAUAUUGCUAGAUGAUAAUGCAUAGUAACAUAAUGAGGAAGCAUAUAUAUGCGUAAUAGUAGCAUGUGAAUCAUAAUAGUGAUGGUUGAUUAUGCUAAUUAGAAAUUGCUUGUUAAUGCAUCGAAUUACAUGCUAGGUGAUGACAUGAUAUAGAGAUGCUAGUAAAGUACUUAAUUGCAUGUUGAUAUACAUAUGCAUAGUGAGGUAUGUGCUCGGGGUACUUAGCAUUAUGAUAUCAAGCAUAUGGCAAUGUGAGCAUGUGCAUGAGAUUAUGUGAUCGUAGAAACUCGAUGGGAACAAUUGCUAGAUUAUGUAAAUAGAUCGAGUGGCAUUACCUAGUGUCAUGAACAUAGGAUUGAGCAAGUAAACCUAGAAUCAAGAUCUAGGUAGAAAUGACAUUAAACCUAGUGUUGUGAACUUAGGUUGUGGAUUGAACCUAGGUAAAUGGCAACCUUGUGAAUGUGUACAAGUAGUGUGUUGAGAACGAGUGGCACCUAGUUAAAUUUAAAUAACUUGACGAGUGGCAUGACAAGUAGAGUAUAAGUGUAAACACUUGUUGUACGUUGAACUUAGAAGUGAACUAGUUCCCAUGUGGAUGUCUAGAGUGUAGAUAUCCUCAAUGAUGGGAUUUGAUCAUACUCAUAUGUCUGUUCGAAGCUUGUGCUGGUCGCUCCCACAAGACAGUGUACUCCGGAGUUGUCACACGAUAGGGAUAGCCUUUUUGGGUCCCGAGGGGUUAGCCUUUUUGGGCCCCGCAGACAGUCUAGGGCGAGUGAGCUGAUCCUCCCCAUGUGAGUCAGAAGUGAGCUGAUCCUCACCUGUGAAUUCAGAUUGGUUGGGUAUUUGUGUGAGUGGGGGAGUGAGCGGAUCCUCCCGAAGUGUUUAGAAUUGUGAGUCGGGCGAGUGAGCGGAUCCUCCCCGUUGUGAUUAGAUUGUGAGUUGGGUGAGUGAGCGGAAUCCUCCCCGAAGUGUUUAAAUUGAGUCGGGCGAGUGAGCGGAUCCUCCCGUGUGAUUAAGAUUGUGAGUCGGGCGAGUGAGCGGAUCCUCCGACCAGUGUUUGGAUUGUGAGUCGGUGAGUGAGCGGAUCCUCCCCGUUGUGAUUAGGUUGUGAGUUGGGUGAGUGAGCUGAUCUCACCUGCGAGAUGAGUCUUAGUGGAUUUGUUCUAUACUAGACAUAGUAUGUUGAAUAGAAACCUUAGAGAGUAGCUGAUGUAAUAGAAAUAGUAUCGAAUGAACUACUUAGUUGAUUGCAUUGCAUGAAUUGGCAUGUAGCAUGGCAAUUGUUGCAUUUGUGAGGCAAAGCAUGGUAAUGUUAGUUGCAUAUUAUAUAUAUCAUAUCUAUCUGUUUAUUAAACUAACCUGCAGUUUGAGGCCUUUGAACCUGUUGGUGAGCUUUUCCCUUGGUGCCGUACCCAUGGAACCAUAGAGUGGUUCUCACCCCACUUGCUUUGGGGUGUUACAGGUUCGCACGUGAGCGGCGCGGCACGCGAGGCGAGGGCGUAGCUCCGUAGAUAGCACCCUACUCCAGAGACCAGAGAUAGUAGUACCCCCGUCUCCAUAGCUUAGGGGUAUAGAGAUGAAAAGAUCCAAUGUAUCAAAAUUUGUAAAGAAUAAAUGAUGUAAUAACUCAGAUUGCAUUUGGAUGGAAAGAAUUGUAAUUGAGAUGUAAAAAAUGUAUGAAUAUGAAGCAUGUAAUAAUUUAGGAUGUGUUAUGUUGUUGAUACCUUCCUUUAUGCAUUCAGUGUAUAAUACUGUUCCUGCUUGGAACCUCUUGUAUUAUACUGUUUGUUGAGCCUUGAACGUACAGGGGGAGACUCUGUCCGGUACAGGGGAAUCCCCGUCCAUUCGGCGCUGUCGGCGGCCCACCCGCCAAAUAGGUAGCGGGUCGCGGGUCGUGACAGGAGAUGGUAUCAGAGCAUAAAGUAGAGAAUGGGCAAUAUUUGUAGACAGACCUAGGAGAUCCUAGGAUAGUGAAACCAUAGAGGCUAAGGCUCGUGAGAGAUGAGGCUUGUGAUUUUUUGGCGAAAAGAAUUUAUGAAAUUGGGUUGUGUCGUGAACCUUUAAAACUGAUGUUAGAGGUAGAUUCAAUGUGUGGUGUAUUCUCAACCGAGAUGAUCAUGUUGGGUGGCAAACAACAUGAGGCCGAGAGAUGAGAAUAGACGCCCUGUGUAACUUUCGCACCGAUUUGAGUCGAUGUCGGUUGUUUCGUACUUGACCUAGAGGGUCGAGAACGUCGAGUCGUUUGCGUUUAAGGACGCGAUGGUGCCGGCGUAAACGAUCUUUGUUUAGAUCGGCACGGGAGGGGACAGGUGAUUCCCUGAGGCAGUCCGAGGUUCGGAUGUUAUUCCGUUGAAUGAACAGUGAAAGCAAGAUCACUGUAGUAGAAGUGUUUGGUUAGUGUAAGUAGGGCAGGUGGGCCUAAUAGUACCUCGAAUUGAGGUGGGCGAGUCGUGCUCGUGUGGGUCGGUGACUGUGGUUCAUUUGUGGAAACCGAGGUGAUGUUUGGCCAAUAACUCUGUCGAGGAGUUUGGCUUGAUUUACGAACAGAGUGUCAUUGUGGGUUUUGUUUGUAGGGCUAUUUGCAGUUGGAAAAUGGCAAUUGAAAGAUAAGGUAAAGUGGUCUCUUGGAGACACUUGAAUAGCAGAUAGCCACGUGAGAGUUGGAGUUGAAGCUCUCAGCGAGUUGAGCUUGAGGGUAAGCUCUUUUUGGGUUAACAUUCGAGAUGCUAGAGUGGACCAUCUCGUGAUAGAGGUAAGGAUCUAGUUGGAUAGAAGCACUCCUGACUUGAUCGAUGCCACCAAUGAAUUGCUUCUAGGCAAUGCCGGUGGUCGGAUCGGAGUGAGUUCCCCGAUUGGUGGCGUAAUGCAAGGAGUAGUUCCUUGUGAGCCAGUAGUGCAAUUUUGAUGUACACUUAGUGAAUGUGAGUGGAUCUAGUCUUAUAUCCUUCGUAGUGGGCCUUUGGAAAUUCCGAUUAGUGAAUGGCCACGUCCGAGAAAGAAAAGUGGCAAUUGGAAUCCCGAUCUAGAUAAAUCGAGUUACGUGUGAAUUGGAUUGGAAGUUAGUUGAGUUUCGAGGCAAACUCUUUUAAGGAGGGGAGAAUGUAAGGUACCGCACUUCUAAAACCAUGAAGUUAUGGUGUAUCUUCGAUUGAAAGCCAUUUGAAAGGUUCCGGUGAAGUUCGGGAGAAUCCGGCGAUUCGGUGCGCGUAGGCGCUAAAAAGGGAGCCGAAAGGCCCAUGUUUGGUCCAUGGAUUAAAUCCAGCAUUAUCAUGGAUGGAAAAGAUGAUGAAAACAUGCUUGAAAACAUGUUGGGAGAGUCUUUGGUUCGAUUUGAAACGAAUCCGGGUACAACGAGCGAAAACGGAGCGAAACACAGGUGAAAAAACUGAAAAUUUGGCUAAGUCUGGAAAUGCUGUUUUUCUGGACCUUCGGGGACCGGUCCCUCAAGUCCAGAGACCGGUCCCAGCACCCGAAAAUGGCCCAGUUUGGGCUGUGUGUGACUCAUUUUGUUGAGGGACCUUUGUGCAAUUGUGCAAAGUGUAUAGAGGGUGUUGGAGGCUUAUUUCUCUCCUUCUCCCUCACAUUGGCAACCAAGUAGACCUCUCUCUCUCUCUAAGCUCCCACUCUCUCUCUCAAGAAAGAAAAGAAAGAGAAGGAGAAGAAGAAAAAGGAGAAAGGAGGAAGAAGCUUGAAGAAGACUUCAUCCUCAUCUUCUUCCCUUGGCCAUUGGAGAAGCUUGUUUGAGGUAAGCUUUACACCCUCUAAUGGUAGCUUCUAGUUUAUGGGUUUUUAAGCUCUAGAAAUGGGAUUUAAUGGUGAUUUAGAGACUGUUAAUCUCAUUUGUUGCAAGAUCUAUAGCUUGAUGUUGCUCUUUGCAACAAUGAGGAGUUAGAGCUCCAAAUGAGAGCUUUAAUGGUAGAUCUCUAGGGCUUUGGUCUUAUGCUCUAGAAAUGGAUUUAGUAGCCUUCCUAGAUGCUAAUUAGAUGGAUUGUGUUUAGAUCCAAAGUUCUAAUGGUGGGUUUUUGUCUAAUUGCGACCUAGGGCUCCAAAAUGGGGUUUUUUCAAAUAUAAGGUUUUGAUCUCAUUUGAGUGGUCAGAAACCUAAUUGUUAUGUCUCCGAACGCGUAGGAAGCGACGGUUCGUCGAUUCGUUGAGCGGGUGCGACGUUCCGGCUAAAACAAGUGUUGUAGGUUCGUUUCUGCCUGGAGGGCCGAGGCGACGUCGUAAGGUCGUGAAAAUGGAUUCGUGGCAUCGUGGCAUCAAACCGAAGACCUAUAAUUUCCGAGGCUGCGAAGCGGAACACGAUUGAGGCGCGGUUGCAGUAUUGGGCUGAACCGGGUCACGGGUGCCACGGGAGGCCGAUUGCAAGUGACUACGAGCAAUCGGAACGCGAUGACAGGUGGGUUGUGUUUACCGAAGCGACUAGGUCGCCUGCAUGUCAAAGUGUAUUAUGAGUUCCUGUUGACGCAUAUGUAUGAGCAUAUUGCUAGAUGAUAAUGCAUAGUAACAUAAUGAGGAAGCAUAUAUAUGCGUAAUAGUAGCAUGUGAAUCAUAAUAGGUGAUGGUUGAUUAUGCUAAUUAGAAAUUGCUUGUUAAUGCAUCGGAAUUACAUGCUAGGUGAUGACAUGAUAUAGAGAUGCUAAGUAAAGUACUUAAUUGCAUGUUGAUAUACAUAUGCAUAGUGAGGUAUGUGCUCGGGGUACUUAGCAUUAUGAUAUCAAGCAUAUUGGCAAUGUGAGCAUGUGCAUGAGAUUAUGUGAUCGUAGAAACUCGAUGGGAACAUAUUGCUAGAUUAUGUAAAUAGAUCGAGUGGCAUUAACCUAGUGUCAUGAACAUAGGAUUGAGCAAGUAAACCUAGAAUCAAGAUCUAGGUAGAAUGACAUUAAACCUAGUGUUGUGAACUUAGGUUGUGGAUUGGAACCUAGGUAAAUGGCAACCUUGUGAAUGUGUACAAGUAGUGUGUUGAGAACGAGUGGCACCUAGUUAAAUUUAAAUAACUUGACGAGUGGCAUGACAAGUAAAGUAUAAGUGUAAACACUUGUUGUACGUUGAACUUAGAAGUGAACUAGUUCCCAAGUGUGGAUGUCUAGAGUGUAGGAUAUCCUCAAUGAUGGGGAUUUGAUCAUACUCAUAUGUCUGUUCGAAGCUUGUGCUGGUCGCUCCCCACAAGAAGUGUACUCCGGAGUUGUCACACGAUAGGGAUAGCCUUUUUGGGUCCCGAGGGGUUAGCCUUUUUGGGCCCCGCAGACAGUCUUGGGCGAGUGAGCUGAUCCUCCCCAUGUGAGUCAGGUAAGUGAGCUGAUCCUCACCUGUGAGAUUCAGAUUGGGUUGUGGUAUUUGUGUGAGUUGGGUGAGUGAGCGGAUCCUCCCCGAAGUGUUUAGAUUGUGAGUCGGGCGAGUGAGCGGAUCCUCCCCGUUGUGAUUAGAUUGUGAGUCGGGCGAGUGAGCGGAUCCUCCCCGAAGUGUUUGGAUUGUGAGUCGGGCGAGUGAGCGGAUCCUCCCCGUUGUGAUUAGGUUGUGAGUUGGGUGAGUGAGCUGAUCCUCACCUGUGAGAUUGAGUCUUGAGUGGAUUUGUAUUUAUACUAGACAUAGUAUAUGUUGAAUAGAAACCUUAGAGAGUAGCUGAUGUAAUAGAAAGUAGUAUCGAAUGAACUACUUAGUUGAUUGCAUUGCAUGAAUUGCAUGUAGCAUGGCAUUGUUGCAUUUGUGAGGCAAAGCAUGGUAAUGUUAGUUGCAUAUUAUAUAUAUCAUAUCUAUCUGUUUAUUAAACUAACCUGCAGUUUGCCUCCUUUGAACCUGUUGGUUGAGCUUUUUCCUUGGUGGCCGUACCCACUGGGAACUAUGAGUAUGGUUUUCACCCCCGUUGCUUUGGGGUGUUACAGGUUCGCACGUGAGCGGCGCGCAGGCGUGAGGCGAGGGCGUAGCUCCGUAGAUAGCGCCCUACUCCAGAGACAGAGAUAGUAGUACCCCGUCUCCAUAGCUUAGGGGUAUAGAGAUGAAAAGAUCCAAUGUAUCAAAAUUUGUAAAGAAUAAAUGAUGUAAUAACUCAGAUUGCAUUUGGAUGAAAAGAAUUGUAAUUGAGAUGUAAAAAUGUAUGAAUAUGAAUGCAUGUAAUAAUUUAGGAUGUGUUAUGUUGUUGAUACCUUCCUUUAUGCAUUCAGUGUAUGAAUACUGUUCCUGCUUGGAACCUCUUGUAUUAUACUGUUUGUUGAGCCUUGAACGUACAGGGGAGACUCUGUCCGAGGUACAGGGGAAUCCCCGGUCCAUUCGGCGCUGUCGGCGGCCCAACCCGGCCAAAUAGGUAGCGGGUCGCGGGUCGUGACAGGAGAUGGUAUCAGAGCAUAAAGUAGAGAAUGGGCAAAUAGUUUAGACAGACCUAGGAGAUCCUAGGAUAGUGAAACCAUAGAGGCUAAGGCUCGUGAGAGAUGAGGACUUGUGAUUUUUUGGCGAAAGAAUUUAUGAAUUGGGUUGUGUCGUGAACCUUUAAAACUGAUGUUAGAGGUAGAUUCAAUGUGUGGUGUAUUCUCAACCGAGGAUGAUCAUGUUGGGUGCAAACAACAUGAAGCCGAGAGAUGAGAAUAGACGCCCUUGUGUAACUUUCGCCCGAUUUGAGUCGAUGUCGGUUGUUUCGUACUUGACCUAGAGGGUCGAGAACCGGUCGAGUCGUUGCGUUUUAGGACGCGAUGGUGCCGCGUAAACGAUCUUUGUUUAGAUCGGCACGGGAGGGGACAGGUGAUGUCCCUGAGCAGUCCGAGGGUUCGGAUGUUAUUCCCGUUGAAUGAACAGUGAAAGCAAGAUCACUGUAGGUAGAGUGUUUGGUUAGUGGUUAAGUACGGGCAGGUGGGCCUAAUAGUACCUCGAAUUGAGGUGGGCGAGUCGUGCUCGUGUGGUCGGUGACUGGUGGUUCAUUUGUGGAAACCGAGGUGAUCGGUUUGGCCAAUAACUCUGUCGAGGAGUUUGGCUUGGAUUUACGAACAGAGUGUUCAUGUGGGUUUGUUGUAGGGCUAUUUGCAGUUGGAAAUGGCAAUUGAAAGAUAAGGUAAAGUGGUCUCUUGGAGACACUUGAAUAGCAGAUAGCCACGUGAGAGUUGGAGUUGAAGCUCUCAAGCGAGUUUGGAGCUUGAGGGUAAUGCUCUUUUGUGGGUUAACAUUCGAGAUGUGCUAGAGUGGACCAUCUCGUGAUAGAGUAAGGAUCUAGUUGAGGAUUGAAGCACUCGUGAUUGAUCGAUGCACCAAUGAUAUUGCUUCUAGGCAAUGCCGGUGGUCGGAUCGGAGUGAGUUCCCCGAUUGGGUGCGUAAUGCAAGGAGUAGUUCCUUGUGAGCCAGUAGUGCAAUUUUGAUGUUACACUUAGUGAAUGUGAGUGGAUCUAGUCUUAUAUCCUUCGUAGUGGGCCUUUGGACAAUUCCGAUUAGUGAAUGGCCACUCCGAGAAAGAAAAGUGCAUUGGAAUCCCCGAUUGCUAGAUAAAUCGAGUUACGGUGUGAAUUGGAUUGGAAGUUAGUUGAGUUUCGAGGACGAAACUCUUUUAAGGAGGGGAGAAUGUAAGGUACCGGACUUCUAAAACCAUGAAGUUAUGGUGUAUCUUCGAUUGGAAAGCCAUUUGAAAGGUUCCGGUGAAGUUCGGGAGAAUCCGGGCGAUUCGGUGCGCGUAGGCGCUAAAAGGGAGCCGAAAGGCCAUGUUGGUCCAUGGAUUAAAUCCAGCAUUAGCAUGGAUGAAAAGAUGAUGAAAACAUGCUUGAAAACAUGUUGGGAGAGUUUUGGUUCGAUUGUUGUUAGAUUCGAUCGGAGGUAAACGAGCAGAAACGGAGGCGAAACGGUUGAAAAGGCUGAAAAAUUGGUAAGUCUGAAAUCUGUUUCUGGCUUCGGGGCCGGUCCCUCAAGGUACAGAGACCGCGUCCAGCACCGAAAAUGGCCGUUGGGCUGUGUGUGACUCAUGUUUGUGGAGGGCCUUGGGGUUCAUUGUGCAUAAGUGUUAUAGAGAGGUGUUGGCAGGUUGAUUUCUCUCCUUAUCUCCCUCACAUUGGCACAAGUAGACCUCUCUCUUCUCUAAGCUCCCACUCUCUCUCUCAGAAAGAAAAGAAAGAGAAGUAGAGAAGAAAAAGGAGAAUGGAGGAGAGCUUGAAGAGAGUUCAGUCUCAUUUCGUCCCUUUUGCCAUGGAGAAGCUUGUUGAGGUAGCGUUACACCUCUAAUGGUAGCUUCUAGUUUAUGGGUUUUUUAGCUCUAGAAAUGGGGAUUUAAUGGUGAUUAGAGACUGUAAUCUCAUUUGUGAAGAUCUAUAGCUUGAUGUUGCUCUUUGCUAACAUGAGGAGUUAGAGCUCAAAUGAGGCUUUAAGUAGAUCUCUUAGGGGCUUUGGUCUUAAUGCUCCUAGAAUGGAUUUAGUAGCCUUCCUAGAUAGGCUAAUUAUGAUGGAUUGUGUUUAUGAUCUUGAAAGUUCUCAAUUGGUGGGUGUUUUUGUCUAAUUGCGACCUAGGGCAUCCAAGAAUGAGGAGUUUUUUCAAAUAUAAGGGGGGUUUGAUGGCGUGAUGGGGGGGUGAGUGGUCAGAAACCUAAUUUUAGUCGGGGGCGAACGCGAGAUAAGCGACGUUCGUCGAUUUCGUUGUGUGUCGUGGGGGGGUGCGAGGUUCGGCUAAAACAAGUGUUUUGUAGGUUGUUUCUGCCUGGAGGCCGAGGCGACGAUGUAAGGUCGUGAAAAUGGAUUCGUGAUCGUAGCAUCAAACGAAGACCCUAUAUUUCCGAGGCUGCGAAGCGGAACACGAUUGAGCCGUUGCAGUAUUUGGGUGAACCGGGUCACGGGUCGCCACGGGGGCGAUUGCAAGUGGACUACGAGCAAUCGGAAGCGAUGAACAGCGUGGUUGUGUUUUACGAAGCGACUUUAGGUCGCCUGCAUGUCAAAGUGUAUUAUGUUGAGUAUCCUGUUUGACGAUAUGUAUGAGCAUAUGUAGGAUGAUAAUGCCAUAGUAACAUAAUGAGGAAGCAUAUAUGCGUAAUUAGUGCAUGUGGAAUCAUAAUAGUGAUGGUUGAUUAUGCUAUUAGAAAAUUUGCUUGUUUAAUGCCAUGCGAAUUAAUUGCUAGGUAUGACAUGAUUAGAGAUGCUAGGAUCUUAAUUCGCAUUGUGAGUAUAAUAUCAUGUGACGGUAUGUGCUCGGCGGUACUUAGCAUUAUUGAUAUCAAGCAUAUUGCAAUGUGAGCAUGUGCAUGAAUUAUGUGAUUGUAGAAACAUCGGGAUGGGAACAUAUUUGCUAGUUUAUGUAUAAUAGAUCGAGUGCUUAACUGUGUCUCAUGAACCAUUAGGAUGAGCAAGUACACUAGUAAUCAGAUCUAGGUAGAAUGACAUUAUAACCUAAGUGUUAGUGAACUUAGCGUUGUGGGAUGGAACCUAGGUAAAUGAACCUUGUGAAUGUGAAAGUAGAUGUGUUUCGGAGAACGAGUUUGAGACACUAGUUAAAUUUAAAUAACUUGACGAGAUGGCAGACAAGUAAACGUAUAAGUGUAAACAUUGUUGUACGUUGAACUUAGACAGUGAACUAGUUCAUAGUGUAGUAGAUGUCUAAGAGUGGUUAGGAAUAUCCCAGAUGGGAUGGGGAUGUUGUCAUCUCAUAGAAUUGUCUUUCGGAGUUGUGCUGUUCGCUCCCAACAAGAAUGCUACUCUCGGGUUGUCACACUGAUAGGGGAUAGGCCUGUUUGUCGUCCCGAGGGUGAGCUUUUGGGCCGGAGACAUCUGGGCGGGUGAGCUGAUCUCCAUGUGAGUCAGGUAAGUGAGCUGUAUCCACUGUGAGAUUCAUGAUUGGUGUGGUGGUAUUUGUGUGAGUUGGGUGAGGUGAACGGAUCCUCCCGAAGUGUUUAGAUGUGAGUCGGGCGAUAGUGAGCGGAUCCUCCCUAAUGUGAUUAGUUGUGAGAUCGGGUAGUGAGCGGAUCUCCGCGAAGUGUUUAAUUGUGGAAGUCGGGCGAGUGAGGGAUCCUCCGCGUUGUGAUUAGAUUGUGAGUUCGGCGAGUAGCGUAUCCUCCCGACAAGUGUUUUGAUUGUGAGCUCGGAGCGAAUGUGAGCGGAUCCUCCCGUUGUGAUUAGGUUGUGAGAUGGGUAGAGUGAGCUGAUCUCACUGUGAGUGAGUUUUGAGUGUGUUUGUAUUUGAUAUAGAACAUUAGUAUAGUUGCAAGGGUAGAAACUUAUGAGAGUAGCUGAGUGAAUAGAAAGUAGUAUCGAUAUGAACUUUAGUUGAUUGCAUUUGAUUGAAUUGAUGUAGCAUGGCUCUGUUGCAUUUGGGAGCAAAGCAUGUAAUUGUUGAGUUGAUUAUAUAUAUAAUCAUAUAUAUUUGUUUAUUAAACUAACCUCCAGUUUGCCUCCUUGAACCUGUGUUGGUUGAGCUUUUCCCUUGGGUAGCCGUCACCACUGAGGAACCAUAGAGUUUGUUCUCACCCGUGCUUUGGGUUGUUAACAGGUUCGCACGUGAGCCGCGGCAGCGCGAGGCGAGGGCGUAGCUCCGUAAGAUAGCCCCUACUCCAAGACCAGAGAUACAUACCGUCUCCAUAAGCUUAGGCUGGGUAUAGAGAUGAAAGAUCAUGUAUCAAAAUUGUAAAGAAUAAAUGAGUGUAUAACUCAGAUUGCAUUGGAGGAAAAGAAUUGUAAUGAGAUUGUUAAAAAUGUAGAGUUAAUGUUAAGAAAGGUAGGUUUACGUUAGACUCAAUAAUGUAGUAAAUAAGAAAUGUUUAAAACUAUGUAACCUAGAAAAGUAGAGAUAUGGGGAUUCGAUACCUCUGCCCCAUGAGCCUUGAACGUACAGGGGAGACUCUGUCCGAGGUACAGGGGAAUCCCCGGUCCAUUCGGCGCUGUCGGCGGCCCGACCCGGCCAAAUAGGUAGCGGGUCGCGGGUCGUGACAGAUUGGGGCCGAACCCACUGGGAACUUUGUUGUAGUUCUCACCCCACUAUUCCACAAAGCCGAGACCGAGCGAGCCGUCGAGCGGCCGUGGUAAAGGUAUCGCACCUUAGUCAGAGGCCUCCCGAGUCGGGCUUUACAUUUUGUUAGUAGUAUACCCUUUUAUCAUAUUUUGUUAUAAUACAUUGAACUUUUGCAAAUUGCGGAGUUCGAGUGUGUGGAAUGAAGUGUUGAACUAUCCUACAUGUUCUAAAAGGUUUGGACAAGUUUUUGAUCAAGUUAGAGGAUGAUUGGAAAGCUAGAAGCAAGAAAGUGCAUUGAACUGGCGAAAUUCAGCAUUUUCUGCAUUGUGUACCGGUACAGUCAUCACCCUGUACCGGUGCAGCAAGCAACAGCAGCUGCAGCUGCGUGGCAGCAAGGCUAUUUUAGUCAUUUCACUUCAUCUAUCCAUCCUUAUCCCUCCCAGCUCGACCCUGAAGAUGCUUAUCACUUGUAAGCUCAGAGAAAUAGGGUUUCUAAGCUCCCCUCUUCUUUCUCUCUCUAGAAUUUUCUCCCUCUACGUAGAAGUUGUCGUUUUGCACCGAUUUCGCGUCGCGUUCGUGGCUCGCAGGUUCGGAGACUCAGAGGAUGUCUUUGGUGCGUGGGGAGAAGGAUUUUUGUUGAAUUUUCUGUGAGUUCACAGCAGGGAAAGCUGAUUCUCAGCUUUAGACAAGUAAUUAACUCAAUUUCUCUCUAAUUUACAGUUUAGUAUCCGAUUUUGAUGCGUUUCGGUUUCAUUGCUCCCAGCUGAGUUUGAGAAGGAUUCUAGCAGCUUGAGAGGAGUUAGUUAGUUGUGAUUUAACUAUCUGGGACCAGGGUUAAGCUACUUCAAGGCUGGACAAAGGUAAUUAGUCAACUAUGACAUAGAUUCAGGAUUAUAUGAAGUUUAAUUGAGUAAUUGACGCAGUUUGGAUUGAAUUCUUCGCAGCAGGUUUUUAAGCCUCUUUGAGCUGAACCUGUGCUCUUGAAAGCUGGUUUGGGAGGCUAUUUUAAGCAAGGGUAAAUAGAAAUUUCAGUUCUAAAACUGAAUCCAUAGGAUUUCGGCGAUAUUAACUUAUAGUUGAGCCUUUUGAUGUCAUUUUGAUGUUGUUCGCAGUAAGAGCGCGAUCGAGCCUUGGAUUAUCUUCAGUGGGCAUUGGAGAGCAAUUGGAGACUUAAUUUGAGGUACUAAUGUGACCCAAAACAGGGAUUUAAGCAUGUACUUUGUAUGAAGUGCGAAUUGUACCGAAAUUGGAUAUUUCGGUUAUAAUAUUGAUACGACUUUCGUGCCUUAUUUUUCAGCAGAGCUGAGACCUUGUGGAGCUAAUUUUGAGACUUCCUUUGGACUGAUUGGAGCCUAGUAAUAGGUGGGUUUGACCUAACCAGAGCAAGUGAAGCUCCCCUAUGUUCUAUAUGAUACUAUAGAAAUAGCAUAUGAAUGCAUUUUGCGUAACUUGGGAAUCGACAUAGAUUCAAGACAUUAUUACAAUUAUAGUUGCUAUAUGUAUGUAUAGUGAACUGAAACCUCUCUUAAGUAGAGGAAUUCAUGCAUAGAAGUAAACAUGUUUAUGUUUGACUUAGUUGAAUGAAUCAGGGACAAUCUAGUAUGUUCCUAAAGUAGAGAACAAUGACAUGCUUUGUGACUAUAACCAUAGUGCCAUGAUAGUAGAAAGCUUCUAAUGCUAUGUGUAAAUUAGCAUUACUCUUACAUGAUUACUAAUCUAGUGGAUACUAGCUAUGUUCAAUAUCUGUUAUAUUGAAAUUCUGAUCAAAGGAUCGAGAGUGAAAACAUUGUAAGAUAAAACAUGAUGAUUGAAAUGUAUUGGAUUAUGAACGUUGCUUGCUUGCCAUCGUGCUCAUUCGCACACGCUUGUGAGGGUAACUCCCUACAAGCUGGCACUCCGGAGUUGGCCUACGCGACAGUUGCUCGCCCGUGCGGGAUUGGGUGCCGAAGUGGAUUGCCGUGGGGAGUGUAUACUACCACGGGGCCAUUAGGCGCGGCGCAAGCUGAGCUACCUUGGGUAGGUCCUUAUGAAUGAAAUGAAAGUACUAAGUGACAAAUGACAGUAAUGAAUGCUCAUCAGUUAUAGUGUAUAGUAUUUACUUACACAUCCAUGUUUAUGUUCAUGUUUAUAGUAAUUGCGAUACUUCUAUUAUUCAGUUGAUUCAUUACUACAGAAAUCAUGAUAAUAUGUUGAUUACAUACCUAUUGCCUGUUAGCAUUGCCUAUAUAUAUAUCAUGCAAUUACCAUUUUUACUUUCAUUUAGUACAUCAUGAGCCUAGUGGUGUAAUUCGCUGAGGCUGGUGGCUUACCCACUAGGAACUAUUGUCAAUAGUUCUCACGCCCUUUUUAUUGUUGUUUUUACAGAGCCAUCUACAGGAGAGGCUUGGGAUCGUAGCAAGGGAGUCGCGUCUAGCUAGACAUUGCUAGGAGCAUGCUAGUCGAUCACCUUACUACUCGGGCUACGGCCGAGGGUGAUGUCCCUAUGUAUAGAGAGACCUCCAUUGUACCUACUUUUUGUAUACCCCGUGAUGUAUAUUUACUGUCGAACCAGAUAUUAUAGUUGUGAUACUUUCUCUUUUAGUUGAGAUUUUGGAUUGUGUACCCUUUGUUCUACUGUUGAUAGUUUUAUUGACUUCUACUAUGCUCUGAUAUCAGGAUAGGAUUCUUUUCUGUUUGUCUCCUAUCGACUUGCUUUCUUGUAGACAUCUUAUAUACUGCAGGUCUAUGCACGUACCUGAUAUGCUUCCGCCGGUACCCGGGCGUGACAUUUGUAUUUGAUGAUUUAAGAUAUUGAUGUAUAAGGCAAAGAAAGAAAAGAAUGUAAUGUUUAUUUUGAGCAAAUGUGAUGUAAAAGAAAUGAUGAAAGCAAUGUAAAGAAUCAUGAAUGUACAAGUUGGAUGAAAUGGAUACAUGUAUGUGAUCAAAAGUUGAAUCAUAAUACUUGAGUAGAUGUUUAGUUCCCUUCCUUUCACUCAUGGCUAUUGUUUACCCUCGUGUAAGCCGUUUGUGUAUGUUUUCGCUAGUGCACUUCUUGUUUGAAAAUGUACAGGUGAUGAGUCUUGGGCGGACAGAAAAUACUCUGUCCGUUCGGCGUCUGUUUGACGUGCUCGGGCCGGCCCAAAUUGGUAUCGAUCCCGGGGCGUGACACUAGAUAUGUGCGUGAGAUGCUAGAGGCAUAUGUAUGUGGACCCAUUAUGAUAAUUGGAAAUUAUUGCAUAUGUAGCAUAUCCUCACUCAUGAGAAUGGUAAACUUAUGGCAUUAUGUGUAACACACUGAACUUUAACAAAUUGCAAGGUUCAAGUGUUUGAUCUGUGUUUCAAGAUUUUUCAGGUAUUCUGGAGGGGCAUUGACGGUGUUCCGACCUAUAACUCACAUCCCAAGAAUUGAGAAUUAAAACUUAGUACCAAAACCUAAAAAAUGUGGAUUUUGGAUUGCUCUCGGGUUUGCCUUUGUAGGGCAGAGUACCGAUACUGCAUCGGGUUGGUACCAGUACCCAGUGUAUUUCUUCGCCAACCCGAGGCUCAGGUUUGCGCAGACUGCUGCUUGGUACCGAUACUCUUUCUCGUGUCACCGGUACGCAGUGCAGUUCGCAGACUGCAAUUUUUGAGGGGUGUUUUUGUUAUUGUAGCAAUACUAUAAAGCGCCCCACGCCCCUUCUAGGGCUCCCUAAGCUUGGAAUAGUGGAGAACCAGGUAAGGGACCCCUCCACUUUCCCUCUUUGAUUUCCUUCCCUUUUUCUUGGAUUUUUAGAGGAUUAACCACCUCUUUUGCUCCCUUUUGGCAUGCUGGUGGUUUUUCCUCCAUGAGUGAAGCCUUGGAGCAUUGUUUAGAGCUUUUUUGAAGAGGGAACUUCAACUCUAGCACCAUCCUAGGUAGGUUUGGUGUAAUAUAUGGAAGCUGGGAGUUACGAUGUCAAUUUUGUUAUAAAGGAUCAAAGAGAAGUUUGGAUUAAAUGUACAUCUUUCCUGAGUGAUUUGUGAUGCAUUGGAAUGAAUUCCGAAGAUAAAUGAGUGUUUCGGCGCAAAUUGGGCGCGAAACGAAAUAUAAAGAGAAUUUCCGGGUUCCGAUGCUAACUUUGAUUAAAAGAACCAUAGUGAGGUUUGGGGAUCAUUAACCAUGAGUUUGGAAGUAUUUUGGACGUGUUGGAGCAAGUGGGAGUGCAAAAAGGAACUCCAAGUGUUGUUGCUGCCAUGUCAAGUAUUGGAGCUUAAGCAUGUUGUUAAUCUUGAACAAAAUAAGCAAGAUAGUGCAAAAAUGUAAUUGGGUUGUUCCAGGAUUAAUUUGGAAGCUUAGGAAUAUUAUUUGGCUUGUAUUGGAAGAAGUUGGAGGGUUUCGAAGUGAACCGAAAGCGCGAAAAGGCUCCGAAGUGAAGUUGCUGCCAUGAAUGGAAUUGGAGCUUGAUUUCAUUGCUAAUCCGGCUAAAAUGAUGCAAUAGAUGAAAUUGGAUUGCUCCCGAAUUAAAUUAGUAGCUUGUGGAGGUUCAUGGGCAUGUAUUGGAAGGGUUUAGAGAGAUUUAGGAUGAAGUGACUGCGUGAAACGAGCUUCGAGAGAAGCUGCUGCCAUAUAAGGUUGUUGGAGAUUGAUUAUGUUGUUGAUCUUACUCACAUUGGUCAAGAUGAUGUUAAAAUGAAAAUUAAUUGCUUCCAAAUUAAAUUGGCAGCUUGUAGAGGUGUAUUAGUAUAAUUUAGAAGUGAUUAGAAGUGUUCGCAGCGAACUAGACGCGCAAAAAGAUCUCAAUUUGCUGCUGUCAGGCUGAGGUGUAGUGCAUGGACUGAACUGCGAACCUGCAGGAACUGAUUUGCGAAUUGCUGGAAUGCAAUGCAAUUUUGCAGUUUUGAGGGGUCUAAAUGCAUUUUGUUGAUCUGAUCACUUAAACCCAUUGAUCCUCCACCUGUGGGCAUACGUAAUUGACUCUCUCUUUCUUUCUUUUCUCUUUUCUUUCCAUCUUUUUUUCCUCUCUCUCUCUCUAGCUGUAUGAAGGAAGGUUGGUGGAGUUGGUGCUCGUGGCUGGGAGGAAGAUGGAGAAUAGAGUAAUACUCCCUUCCUUCUCUUUUAUUUCUUUCCUUCUUCCCUUCCUUCUUGUCUUUCUCUUCCUUUUUCUCUCUCAAACUGAGAGGAGUGGGAUGUGUUGAAGGGAAAGUGGUGAUGGUGCUGUUGGAGCUGAGAAGAGGUUUCGGCAGUGGGGAAAUUGGUUGUUGGAGCUUCAAAACCUGAGGUGAGAUUAAAUAAUCUCUUGGUUAGGGUUGUGUUUUCAUGAUAGGGCUGAUUCUAAUCAACCUAGGAUGGAGUUGGCUUGGUUUCUUGAUUAUCAAAGCAUGUUUACCAUGAAAAUUCCUAAAGGGGCUGGAUGUGGACAGCACAUGUAUAUAUAUAUAUAUAUAUAUAUAUAUACAUGUGGAUUGGUUAUAGUAAUAAGUUAUUAUUCAGAUUUGGGUGAGAGUUUGAUGUGAAGUCCUCUAAACUGAUUGUUUUGAGGUUUCUUGGGCGAGCAAAGAGUUGAAUUGCUCUAUGUUCUUCAUGGAGUUGUGUAUUAGCAGGUUGAUUAGAGAAUAGUUUUAUGUAUAGAACCUGCAUAAAGGUUUGAAUAGUGAUAGGUUCAUUGAACCUAAGCUCGAUAAUGCGCUUUUGCAGGAUUAAAGUCCUAACUUGGAAUUGACCGCGUACAAACCUAAUUGAGGGUAAAACUGUCACGCCCGGGUACCAGCAGAAGCAUAUCCGGUACGUGCACAGACCCGCCAUACACCUGCAGUAUAUAAGGCGUCUACAAGAAACAAGUCGAUAGGAAGAACAUAGGAAAAUCCUAUCCUGAUAUCAGAGCAAAGUAUAAGUCCACAAUACUAUCAACAGAGGAACAAAGAGUAACCAAUCCAAAAUUUUCACAUCAUAAAGAAAUAUAAAAACUAUAAUCUCUGGUUCCAAACAGUAAAUAAACAUCAUAGACUACUCAAAAUACAUAUACAAUGGUAGUCACUCUAUACACUGGGACAUCACCCUCGACCGUAGCCCGAGUAGCAAGGUGAUCAACUAGCAAGCUCCUAGCAAUGUCUAGCUAGACGCGACUCCCUUGCCACGAUCCCUAGCCUCUCCUGUCAAUGGCUCUGUAAAAACAACCAUAAAAAGGGCGUGAGAACUAUUAACAAUAGUUCCCAGUGGGUAAGCCGCCAGCCUCGGCGAAUUACACCACUAGGCUCAUGAUGUACCGAAUGAAAGUAAAAAGAGUAAUUGCAUGAUAUAUCUACAUUGCUAAUAGGUAACGAACAUGUAGUCAGCAUGUAAUCGUAAUUUCUACAGUAACGAAUCAACUGAAUAAUAGAAGCAUAGCAACUACUAUAAGCAUGAACAUAAACAUGAACAUAAGUAUGGAUGUGUAAGUAAAUACUGUGCACUAUAACUGGUAAUCAUUCAUUACUGUCAAAUGUCAUUUAGUACUUUCAUUUCAUUUAAAGUUUUCCUUUCAUUCAUCAGGACCUACACAAGGUAGUCCGGCUUGCGCCGCGCCUAAUGGCCCCGUGGUAGUAUACCCUCCCCACGGCAAUCCACUUCGGCACCCAAUCCCGCACGGGCGAGCAACUGACGCGUAGGCCAACUCCAGAGUGCCGGCUUUUAGGGAGCUACCCUCACAAACGUGUGCGAAUGAGCACGGUGGCAAGCAAACAAGGUCCAUAGCUCAGUAUAUCUUAAUCAUCGUGUCAUAGUACACUAUGUUGUCACUCUCGAUCUAUUGAUCGGAAUUCUCAAUAUGAUAAACAAUGAAACUUGCUAGUAUCCACUAGAUUAGUAAACACAUAAAAGUAAUGCCAAUUUACAUAUUGCAUUAGAAACUUCUCACUAUUAAUAUACUAUCAAUAGGGUCAAGAGAAUGUCAUUGUUUUCUAUUUUGUAGAAGCAUAAUACACUUAUCACUUGGUUAUUCAACUGAACUAAACAGGAAUACUUUACUGCAUGAAUACUUUAUGCAUGACUACUCUCUACUUCAUAGAGGUUUCAUUUCAAUUGUAUCAAGCAUUGUGGCAAGAUUAUUCCGAGUCCUUUAUCAUUCACAUAAACACAAUAGCGUACAACCAAACCAAUUCUAUAGUAACAUAUAGAACAUAUGGGAGUUUCACUUGAUCUGGUUAGGUCAAACCCACCUAUCACUAAGCUCAAACCAGAUCAACGACGUCCCGAAAUUCAGCUCUACUAGACUUCAGCCCUGCUGAAAACAAAGCAUCAAAACAGCGUCGAGGCGAUUACUUAUACAUAAGAAUCCAAUUUCGGCAAAAUUCUCAAUUAAUACAAGGUGGAAGCUUAAUUCCCUGUUUUGGCUCCGUUUAAUACCUCAAGUUAAGCUUCCCAAAAUCCCUCACGUAUCAGUCGGAGAUAAUCCGAAAGUCCAUCGCAAGCCUGCUGCGAACAAUUUCCAAAACGGCAUCAAAACGCUCAAAUAUAAGUUAAUAUCGCCAAAAUCUUGCGGAAUCAGUUUUGGAACUGAAAUUUCUAUUUACCCUUGGUUAAAAUAUCCUCGAAACCAGCUUCCAAGAGCACAGGUUCAGCUCAAAGGAGCUCAAAAACCUACUGCGAAGAAUUCAUUCCAAACUACGUCAAUUACCCGAUUAAACUUCAUAUAGUCCUGAAAUUAUGUCAUUAGUUGACUAAUUACCUUUAUCCAGCUUUGAAGCAGCUUAUCCCUGGUCCAAGGUAGUUAAAUCACAGCUAAUUAACUCCCCUCAAGCUGCUGAAAUCCUCCUCGAACUCAGCUGGGAGCAAUAAAAUCGAAACGCGUCAAAAUCGGACACUAAACCACAAACUAGAGGGUGAUUGAGCUAAAAACCUCUUUAAAGCUUUCUUUCAGCAACUCCCAGCAAUAGACAUGAAAAGCACUACUGAAAACACUUCACUUUACCUUUUAAAAGCUGACCCCAAGUCCACCCAACCAGCAAACGUUGAGCGGGACGCGAAAACGGCGCAAAACGGUGACUUUUACUCUUAGAGAGAGAAACCCUAGAGAGAGAAAGAGGGUGAGAGGCAGGGCAGCUUCUCUAAGCUCCAGCACCAUCUAAGAAGCUUCAAGGGUCGAGCUGAAGGUAAGUAGAUAAGUAUAGAAUGUGAAAUUACCAAAAUAGCCUUGCUGCCACGUUUUUGCCAUUGUGUACCGGUACACAAUGAUGGUUGUACCGGUACACCAAGCAGAAAAAUGCUAAUUUCGCCAGAUCAAAGCACUUUCUUGCUUUUGGCCAUCCAAUCCUUCUCUAACUUGUACAAAAACUUGUCCAAGCCUUUUAGAAUAUGUAGGAUAGAUCCACAUCUCAUUCCUCACACUCGAACUUCGCAAUUUGCAAAGGUUCUGUGUAUUACAAAAACGAACGUGUUGGCGAAGUCGGUUUAGCAAUCCGUCGAGCCUACGCGAAGAUAUCACCAAAAGGACAUUUUCGACUACAAUUGUAGCGAGCGCGGGCCGCGAUUCAUGGAAAAGUGCGGGAAGUCGAUUUCUCGCGUUCCGGUAUCAAGUAAAGGUGGGUUGUGCUUACCGAAGCGAUUAGGUCGCUUCCGUGCCAAAGCAACGUAUGGUUUUUCAUUGACGCAUAUAUGCUUAGCGGUAGGUUAUGAUUAAUAAAAUGAAGGCAUGAAUCAAAUCAUAUAAAUUGCCUGCCAUUGGAACAUGCACAUGAGUAUAAUGAUAAUCUUGUUGAAUAAUGGAUGAAUAUUGAUAUGUGAUAACCAUGCUAGAUGCAUAUGAAUGCAUGAGUUGUGAAUACUAGAUGCAUAUGAAUAUGAAUGCUAGAUGCAUGUGAAUGUAUUAUGGUUAAAGCUAAAGCAUAUAUGGACUUUGACAUAUUGUGGACGUGAACCUAGUGUAUUAAACAUAGGUUGGAUAUUUUAUAGAUCGAGUGGCAUGACCUAGUGUUAAUAAACAUAGGUCGGACAUAACCUAGUAUCAUUAAAUAUAGGUUGAAUUAGUAAACCUAGAGUCGAAAUCUAAGUAAAAUGACAUAGAACCUAGCAAGUGAACCUAGGUUAUGAUGUAUAGUGAAACUUAGUGUAUUUGAACUAAGUUGUGGAUUUUAGUGGUAGAAUGACCACUAGGAAAUAAUUGGUUUAGACCUAGGAAGGUCGUCAACAUAAGGUAAAGUGAGUAAACCCUUAAGUUGUGGAAAUAAAUUCCGGAAUCCCAAGACCUAUGAUGACCUUGGUAUCAAGGCUAGGGCGUGUGCGACGAUUUCGCCGCCGAGAUUGAUACCAAGGGAGGAAAAGAGGGUCUGUGCGCAGAGUCACCACUCGGAGGCUUAAACUAUUACCCGGCGUGUGUGAUAAUUUCGCCGCCAGAUGGUUAAGCCGGCUUGUGGGGCAUGCCAUAAAACAAGUGAAUCAGAACUACGGGAUCGACGGUUCUCCUCUCCCGGUAGUUAUUCAACGGGAUCGACAGUUCUCCUCUCCCGGUAUGAGCUCAGCGGGUUUGAUGGUUCUCCUCGCCCGUUAAGCUUGAGCGGCGUAGGGUCACGAGGAUCGACGAUUCUCCUCUCCCUGUGAUUGUACCUAUUGUCGCGUGGACUUAGGGCUGAGGUGCUUGUGAGACGUCCUUCACCUCGAGCCUGACUUGACGCGGUACUCCGCGGAUGAUUGACUCGAGACCGAGUCGGGUGGAUAGCUUGAUUAAGGUAGAUGACACCUUAGAAGCUAGUAUGAUAUGAGCUUGGAUAGCGAGAUAGAAAGUAGGAUCAGUAGAUCUACUUGUUACUUAGUUGCAUAAUUUGCAUAUUGCAUAUCGUGAGGCAUACAUGUUUAAAUAUCUGCAUAAAUUAUUGUGAUUAUCUGUUGGACUAACAUGUUACAGUGCCUCCUUUGGACCUGGUGGGUCGAGCUCUUCCCUUGGGUGGCCGUACCCAUUGGGAACUAUAUUUAUAUAGUUCUCACCCCCGUGUUGUUUUUGGGGGUACAGGUUCACACGCGAGCGGCGCAGCGGCGUGAGGACAGGGCGUAGCUCCGUAGAUAGCGCCCCACCACUGAGACCGAGAUAGCAAUACCCUGAAGAGGUCUAGCUCAAAGUUCAGAUUGAAAGAAACAAACUUGUAGUAAAUUUGUAUAAGUUGUAAUAACUUAAAGGUAUUUGUAAUAUUGUAAAUGUAAAAUCUUGAGAUGAAUGCUUGUACUAGCAUAGUUAGCAUUUUAUGUUUUUGAUACUUAUGCAAUCUGUGGUUGAAUACAGUUCCUGGUUGGAACCUCUUGUAUUACAUUGUAUAGAUUGUGACGCCUAGAACGUAUAGGGGAGGCUCUGUCCGUUCGGCGGUUUGUCGGCAUGCCCGAAUCCGACCAAAUAGGCGGAGCUCGAGGCAUGACAUUUGGAGCAUUAAGAGAGGUUAGUAUCUAUGAUCUCUCAUUUGGAUCAUAUUUUGGUAGAGUUUUUGCAUAUAAACCUAGAAAUGAGAAAUCUAGGAUUUAUUUGGGGAUUUUUUAUUUGUAACUUUUGGAACCUAAUUUAUUGGUUUAGAACCUUCCUUUAGGUUGGAUUUGAAGGGUCCUAGCUCUCAUUUGGGAUUUGAGAAGGUUUUUCCACUUUUAAGGUGAGUUUUAACCCUUUUCUUGGAUUGGUUAAAGAUGAACACUUUGGGUGUUCGUUCGUUUCGUUUAACCCUCUUAGAAUUUUCUUUAGGAAGCUAAGUGACUAGUGGACAUCUUCGUUGGCACAAACGAAGGGGAUUAGUGGAGUUCUUGGUGGGUUUGACCUAACCGAAAUGGAUAAACCCCCCCUAUGUUAUUUUCUGCAUUGUAAAAUAAAAAUUCUUGCAUAUUCAUAUUAGAUAGGGCAUAUGUGAAUUUUAGAAGCUUAAAAUACAUGUGUUAUGUAUCAUAAAAAAUCAUCUCUAUGUAGUAGAGAAAUAUGAGUAUAGUAUUCUUACAAAUGAGAAGCAUUCUUUCAUGUGAUUUGGAAACAUGUGUUAUAUAGUUAAAAUGACAAGUAUAACAUGCUUUUGGACAUAAAACUCAUGCUUGACAUAGUGGACACAAAUGCCAUAAAGAAGCAUUCAACUUAGUGGACGGUUAAACUACUACAUGAUAACAUAGUGAUAGGCCAUUGAAUCACUAGCAUUUAUACCAUGUUUUAGACAUGAUAAUAUUGGACUUGAGAUAGAUGAUUACGCUUGCUUGCCAUUGUGCUCAUUCACACAUGCUUGUGAGGGUCGCUCCCUACAAGCCGGCACUCCGGAGAUAGCUAUCGCGACAUAUGCUCGCCCGUGCGUGAUUGGGCGCUGAAAUGGGAUACCAUGGGGGAGGCUCAUUUCAAGGGUGGGAAUGUUGACUACCAUGGGACCAUUAGGCACGGCGUAAGCAAGACUAUCCUUGUGUAGGUCCUAUAUGAUUGGAACAAAGUUAAACUAAAAUACAAAGUGGACAUUAGACAAAUUAGUAAACAAUGACAUUUUACUAGUUGUACUUGAGGACAUUAUGUAUUUAUACACAUGCAUAUUCAUAUUAGAAUAGCAUUUAUACUUGUGGAAACUCAUGCUAAGUAGAGGCAUAGUAGUUAGUAAGUUUUAUUACAUGCUCAAUAUACAUAUUGUUCUUUCUAUUUAAUAUUAGAACAUACUACUUAUGCCUCCAUAACCUAGUGGUGUAUUUCGCUAAGGUCGGCGGCUUGCCCACUGGAAACUAUUGAUUAAUAGUUCUCACGCCCCCUGUUUUGUUUUUUUUUUUUACAGAGCCUUCCACACUGGGUGAGGUUAGGGACCGCGGCAAGGGUGUCGCCACUAGGUAGUCACGAGGGGUCUUUCUUUUAGGUGAUUCACCUCUCUUUUUGUUUUACUUGGAGAGGAUGAGAGUUUUGUACUCUUAUGUAGAGACCACCAUUUUUGUUUAUCUAAUCUUGUAUUUGAGAUCCUAUCUUGUACUACUUUAUUGUUUACAUUAGGGGAUUAGCUCCUUUUAUCCUGCUUGUCUUUAGAAAUCUAGUUGUGUAUGCUCUGAUAAUCUAUUAGAUGCUUUAUUUAUCUUACCUCUUUAUACUGUUGUUGUAGACGCCUUAUAUGUUGUAGGUAUAUAGCGGGUCUGGACACGCACCGGGCAGGCUUCCGCUGGGUCCCGGGGCGUGAUAGAUUAUUUUGGUAUAAGAGCCUAGGGUUGAGUCUUAGUGGACCUAACAAAUCUUUGACCAGUUGGACUAUAGGAAAUAGGCUCGCGAGAGACGGGGUCUAUUUUGAUUUGUAAGCGAAAGUAUUAUAAUUGGAUUUUAUUAUAACUCUAAAAAGUUGGAGUUUAAUCGAAGUGUAUAGCUUCUAACUUCCCGGAGGGUUACGUUGGCGGCCGACAACGUAACAUCAGGAGUUAGUAGUAAAGGACACUUCCUUACUUUCGCAUGAUUUGAGUAUUAUUUACUUGAGUAGGGUUGCGAUAGCGUGAGUUUUACUAACUUGCCCUUUUAUGUUGUUGUAGUGAUAAUGCCAACUACUGGCUCUAAAUCUGUUGGGGCAGAGAACGCGGCAAACCUGGAGGAGGUGGAGACCUCCGCUACUUCCGGGUCUAGCGAGGUCCGUGACCUGAGAACUCAGCUUGCGGUCCUCAUUGAUUUAGUGGCUCAGUAGGCGGCGGCGGCUCAGCAACAGGCCGAUGUGGCGCACUGGCAGGAAACGCGGAUGAAGCAAUUGGAGAACUUGCUUCUUCAGCAGGCGGCUACUAGGGAGGCCCAGACUUCCACACCCCCCGCGCCGGCCAAGGUGGUGGCACCGAGGGCGCCGUCUCCCGCUCCCGGUACUUCGCGCGCGGCGCCCAUAGUCGUACCUCGAGAGGAGGAUGUCGCGGCACCACCGAUUCAGGUGCCUCCGGCGGGGGCAGUUUUUCCCGUGAUGGUCGAGGGAGCGGAGCGGGACCGGCUCAUGGAUCGCCUCAAUGAGUUCAGGAGGUGCAAUCCCAGGAUUUUUUAUGGAGAGAAAGCCGACCACUGGAUCGUGGAGAAGUGUUUGAUGCACAUGGAAAAGCUUUUUCGCGACACCUUUGUGGAAGAGAGAGACCGAAUUUGGCUCGCCACUCAUCACCUGGACGCUGAAGCCUACCGUUGGUGGUUGGAUAUCCAAGACAACCCCAACACCGACCUUUCAGCAAUUACGUGGAAGAGGUUCAAGGAACUUCUGUUGGAGCACUACUUCCCCGACAGCGUCAAGAGGCAAAUAGAGAAGGACUUGCGCGGCUUGCGCCAAGGGGAUCGGACGGUAGCCGAGUACGAGAGAGAGUUCUCUCUGCUUCUGUAUUGCGUGCCUUUCGUCGUGCGUGACGACGAGGACAAGGCCCGUAUUUUUUAAAGUGAACUUUGACCGUCGAUUUUUUGGUUUGUGAAAUCGUCAUAUCUGCAAACCUACCGAGAUGUGGUGAACCGCGUUCUCAUUGUGGAGAGGGGCUCGGCGGAUGUGCAAGAACGGAGAGAAGGCUUGGACAAGGGAGAGGGAAAAAGGCCCGCGGCUGAGGGUUUGAGUCAGGCGCACUCUAGGAGGCCGCCGAAGCACCCUAGAAGCGAGUCGAGAGGGCGUGGCUCAUUUGCACAGAGAGAAGGUUUUGAUCGACGCCGACCUCCCCAGUGUGUUAUCUGUGGUGGUCCUCACAUUCCACCGCAGUGUCCACAGCGGGGAGGCAUGUGCUUCCUUUGUGGCCAGGAGGGCCACUUCCGAACCGAGUGCCGGAGAAGUUCGUUACCGGCAUCGUCAUCUGCAUCGGCACCGACAUUGCCAGCUGCCAACCAAGGGACUCCAUCGGCACACUACCCGCCUAGGGGGCCACCCAUCCAGCGAUAGACUGGUACCUUAUCGGACUUCUAAAAUUAUGAAGUUACGGUGUACAUUUGGUUGGAAAGCCAUUUGAAUGGUUCCGGUGAAGUUCGGUGAAGUUUGGGAGCAUUCAGGCGUUUCGAUGUGCGUAGGCGUGAAAACGGUACCCAAAAGGCUAUGUGUCACGCCCCGGGGUCCAGCGGAAGCUUGCCCGGCACGUGUCUAGACCCGCCAUACGUCUGAAACAUAUAAGGCGUCUACACAAUUUCGAUAAAUAAGACAAUAGUACAAAAAGGUCUAGUAAUAUCAGAGCACAAAACAACUAGAUUUUACAACAUAGUAGGUAAAAGAAAAAGUAAAUCCACUAAGAUAAAACAUAACUUAGUAAAAAGAAAGCCAACUACAAGUACAAGGGAAGAUACAAUGGUGGUCUCUAAACAUGGUAACAAAACCUCUCUCUCACAAAUCUCAAACAGAGAGAAGAACCACCUAGGAUCAAAACUGGCUCCACCACUAACUAAGCGAUCCCCUUGCCACGAUCCCGUGCCUCCACCGGUGCUGAAGGCUCUAAAAAGAAAUCAUAAAAUAGGGGGCGUGAGAACUAUUAAAUAAUAGUUCCCAGUGGGCAAUUACUGACUUCAGUGAAAUGCGCCACUCGGCCCAAACUGGAGGAAGGUAAGUAGAUAAGGCAAUACUUAAAGCAAAAGCUACCACAUAAUCACUACUUGGCAUGAAUUGCAUAAAUAAUAAACUACCCAUGAUCUCUACUUAACAUGAUUGGCAUAAGUAAUAAAGCAACUAUAUCAUGAAUGUACAUGGAUGUAUAGGACAUGCAGAAGCUUAGGAAUGCAACCAACCCGAUGUCCUCAAUGCAAAAAUAGUAAAGAUGUCAUUGUUUACUAUUCUAGUCCAAAUUCACUUUAAUAGUUUUAAAGUUCACUUAGCAUGUUCUGUCACUAAGUCCCAAUCAUGUAAGACCCGCCCAAAGGCUGUCUGGCCUGCGCCGUGCCUAGUGGUCCCAUGGUAGUCAACAUCCCCACUCUAGGAAUGAGCCUCCCCCACGGCAAUCCAUUUCGGCGCCCAAUCCCGCACGGGCGAGCAUAUGUCGCGAUGGCUAUCUCCGGAGUGCCGGCUUGUAGGGAGCGACCCUCACAAGUAUAUGCGAAUGAGCACAAUGGCAAACAAGCAAUGAUCUAUCCAAGUACCAAGUCCUCAUGUCUAAAAUAUGGAAUACCAGUCAACUGUAUCGAUGGCCUAUCACUAUGUCAUCAUGUCUAAAACAUGGAAUGUAAUAACUGUCUCAAUGGCCUAUCUCUAUGUCAUCAUGUCUAAAACAUGGAAUAUAGCAGAUGUCUAGGUGGCCUAACACUAUGUCUCCAUGUUGCAGUUUAACAAUUUUCUAGUUCGAGUGCCCCUUUAUGACACUUUUGCUCACUAAGUCAUAGCAUGGCAAUUAUGUUCAAGAGUACAUGAUUCUAGUCAUUUUCCACGUAAGAGACAUAUUUUGAGUUGCAAAUAAAGACCACAUAGCACAUGCAUGCAUACUACUCUUACGGCUCUACUACAUAAAGUGAAAUUAUCAUGAUACAUAAUACAUGUGUUUUAGGCGCUCCAAAAUUCAUAUAAAUUCUACUUAUCAUGAAUAUGCAUGCAUUUAUAGUAAAUGAAGACAAUAAACCACAUAGGAGGCAUUUUCUCCCUAUAUCAAAGAAGCCAAACCCACCAACGACAACGGAACCCUUCGAUUGCUCCGACGAGGGUGUCCACCACUCUCCUAGUACCCUAAAGGUAUGGAAACAAGUGUCACAAGAACCAUACAAACAACACUUAGCUCAAACAUUAAGCUUUUCAAGCUAAGGCGGGGAAAACUCACCGAAAAUGGUGAAUAUCUCUCUUGAUCUCCAAAAGGAGGCAAGAAUCCUUCAAAACCAACCUAAAGGAAGGUUCUAAUAAGAUCAAUCAAGAUCAAAAAGCCUCAACUCGAAAAUCCCCAUUUCUAACCCUAAAAUUCAAAAUCUAGGGUUUUCUCUAACCAAAUCCAACAAAACAUGUAUCAAAUAAAAAAUACAUGUCACUAACCUCUUAAAUAGUCUCAAACCAAGUCCAAAAUCAGCUAGGGUUGGAGGUCUCCUCACAAACAAGCUCCUCUCAAAGCUCCAAGUCUUCAACCAUGGAGAAAACCCAACAAAAAGCAAAGAAGAGGAGAAGGGAGAGAUCAAAACACCAUAAAAUCCACCAAAAAUGGAGAUCAAACAAGGGAAGGGGAGACUCACCUUGAUCUCCACUGGUUAGGGCUCAAAGAGAGCAGCUAAGGGGGCUGGGGUCAUCUAUAUAGGUGUUGUAACAAUUGCAAAUACACCCCUCCCCGAAACAGCCCAUUCUGCACUGCGUACCGGUACACGGGUUUGUGUACCGGUACACAUCCCACGAACCAGCCCAACCCGAGCUUCGGGUUGGCGCUCUGGCUGCCAGGGUCGAUGGCUGUACCGGUACAGCCAUCACCGCGUACCGGUACGCCACCCUGCAGAAAGCCACCCAAGAGCACACCAAUAAUCCAAUUUUUUUGGGUUUUAGUGCCAAGUUUUAAAUCUCAAUUCUCGGGACUCGAACCAUAGGUCGGAAUACUAUCCACGACCCUCCACGAAGUGUGGAAAAGUUCGAAACACAAGUCAAACACUCGGACCUCACUAUUUGCGACGGUUCGGUGUGCUACACUAUGUUAGACCAUGAACUAAAUCCGGCAUUAGCGUGGAUGGAAAGAUGAUGAAAUUACGCUCGAAAAUAUGUUUUGAGAGUUUCGGUUCAAUUUGAAAUGAAUCGGAGUUCAAACGAGCGAAAACGAACGAAAACGGAGAAGAAAGCUGAAAAUGCUGAAAAAUUGGCUAAGUCCUAAAAAUGCUGAAAUUCUGGACCUACGGGGUCCGG
rnacentral:lncRNA from 1 species